rnacentral:lncRNA from 1 species
GUAACUUUCGUUAUUUUAUUCAUCAGAACAUAAGCCUAUUAAAUAGGCAGAACAUCCAAACCACUUAGCAAGAAAAUAGCUAUAGAACAACAACAACAAAGACCCACUAACAUACCCCACUAACCAGAACAUAUGCAGAAACUAACUCCUAAAAACAAGCCACUUCCUAUUGACUAGGACUCCACUAUUACAUUAUUGAAGACACAUAAAAACAAAGUUAACUACUUCAACAAUUGAUGGUGUCACUUCAAGGAGUUCUCAAUGUCGAUCACGAAUCGAUACUUAACAUCUCUCUUGAUGAGCCUCUCCAGAGCUUCGUUGGCAUAAUCGAUCGGUAUCACUUCGAUGUUUGGGUAUAUCUUCUGUGCUGCACACAGGUCUAUCAUUUCUUGGGUAUCCUUUGUUCCUCCCGUUACGCUACCUGAAACAGUUCUCAUAUCUGCCAAAAGUUCACCGCAAGCAACUUAGUUCACCUAUCAGGUAUAAAAUUUCAUUUAGUAAUCAGAUUUGAGAACAAAAACAUACUGAGGUUAAGGCUGGCUGGACUGAAUUUAACUUCGCUCAGGAAGCCGACCAAUGCUAGAAUGCCACCCGUCUUCAAAAGAGACAUGUAAGGAUCAAAUGGGUGAUCACCGGCUGCCGUGUCGAUUAUAAAGUCCAGGGACUUAGCAAUGGCCUGCAUGCAUUGGAUUUAUCAGAUCACAACAGAAUUUGACCACCAUGGAUCUCAAUGUGGAUAAUUCUAGUUUUUCCUCUUUUUACCUUCAUCUGCUCUAGGUCAGAUGAGAUAACGAAAUGGUCAGCCCCAAGCAGGCUCAGUGCUUCCUCCUUUUUAGAAAUGCUUGUACUGAACACUGUGACUUUCAGUCCAAAAGCCUUCCCAAACUUAACUGCCAUAUGACCGAGCCCGCCAAGUCCAAUUACACCUAGAGACUUACCAGGUUGGUUCAUCUUGUGACGUAUCAUUGGAGUGUACACCGUGAUUCCAGCACAGAGCAAUGGCGCUGCUAGAUCCAUCGGGUAGUUUUCUGGAAUCCUGAAGCAAUACCUGUCAAUGAAGCACCACAAUUAAGUUUCCAAAUAACACCAAGAGAGGAAGUGAUUUCCCAAUAGAAUCAGCAUCUUGUCUUUGUUGUCUAAAAGGAAUCAAAUCACAGAGCCAGAAAUCCUAUCUUCUGCAUGCUUGGGAAUUUUACUUGCUUAGACCACAAUUCAGCAUCAUGUUGUUUCUGUGAUCCUUGUUCUGACCACAAAUUGCUCUAGACAAACAUUUCUUGCUGUAGCAAUGUAAAUAAAGCAAUUGCAGAAUACAGGAGGCCACACUCGAUUAAAAUUAAGAAAAGACACUUGCUCUAAGAAAGGAAACUGGUGGCAUAUCACAUAUGCUUGACUGAACACGUAAUUUCUCUAUUUCCUUCAAUCAAUUUCUCCAAGGGACACAAGAUUCCUGUGGCUCUAUCAGAUACAAGAAUUAGUGAAAGCACAUACAUUUAGCUACCCAUUUGAUCUGAUACUUAUGAUCUAACUCUAACAAUCUAAGGACAGCUUAUUCCAUUCCUGACAAUGGUUAUUGAAAAGAAAGAAUUUCUUUUUGCAUUUAAUAAAGCCAAUUCUCCAUUGAAUGGUUUGAAUGGUAAUUAGAUACAAAGGACUUAAAGACUCUCCAGAGCCGUUAUAGAAAGUAUCUUUAUCCCUUUCCACAAGAUGCAAUUAAUACCUAAAAGCCAUUCCUCACAGUCCUAUGCAUUAUGCCACUUCUGGUCACAAUCAGAAAUUCAGAAUACAAAGAAAAUUAGCAGAGAAGAAGACAUGACAUGAAAUCUUUUUUUGGCCACCAUGAUUUGGAAUUCUGUCACAGUGCAAAAUGCUGCCUAAUAACGCUGUGUCAAUAAGCAAUUACCUUUCAUGGAUGACAAUGUGACUAGAAUAUCCUCCCUUUGUGACUGUACCGUCCGCAUCGAUUCCAUCAAAAGUCAAAACCGCCUUUUCACAUUGGGUUUCUAGCCUGUCAUUGCAAUACUCACACUCUCUGCAUGAAUUGACAUAAGUUCCCACCCCCACAUGAUCGCCAACUUUGAAGCGUUGGACACUGGAGCCAACCUGUUUCACAAUUCCAACUAUCUCGUGCCUGAAUCAAUCAAAAAAAUCAUUUGCAAAUUUUGUUCAGAGAAUUAUGAGGAUGGUGCUAAGAAAAAAAGAUUAACAUUUGAAUCACGCUGCAUCCUACCCUGGCACCAGAGGAUACUUGGAGUGUCCUUGCACAUUCCUAGUCCAAGCCACAUCUGCAUAGCACACUCCACAGUGCGUGAUCUUAAUCGAGACGUCUUCGCUUCCCACGGCCCUAAAGAGAUGAUUCCCAAACAGGUGAGCAUAUAAUCCAGUGACUAAUCAGACUAGGGUACCUUUUUUUUUCCAUUUUCAAGAUCAACAAACUAAGCUUGACCUACGAUUAUCGAGAAAACAAGAAACCAGAAAUGAGAAAAGGAAAAAUUCCAUGACUGCAAGCAUAUUUGUCCAUACGCUAGAUACAACCUCAAAUGCUCAGAAAGGCAGCCAGUACAGGAUCCUCAUGUCUGCCAUGAAAUUCUGAGUAACCCAUUACCAACAAUUCUCGACCCAGAAUUCAGCGCAUACACAACAAAAGAAAGAACGAAAAAAUGAAAUGGUCUGGACCGAAAACUGUCUCGCGUGAACACUGUACUGAGACUCUCGCAUGAACACUUUCGGUAGAAAUCGAAAAAGAAAAAAAAAUGGCAAUACCUGCGGGUGAAUUUGUAGGGGGAGAGGAACCCAGAAGGGUCCCGGGCAGCCCAACCGAGGCAAUCCUCCUUCCCACCCUCCGAGCUCAUCUUCUGUACCUACACACCCAGCGAAGCAAUCACACAAAUGGGUACGGUUAGAUUCAUCCAAAGGAGAAGAAGAAAGGGUGAGAACUCGAACGAGAAAGUGCCCAAGAUCAGAGACUCAACGGGUCAUCACUCGGCGAGGACUCGAGUCACAACGAGCUCGCCAUCACUCACCAACUCACUCACUCACCCACACCCACCUACCCAAACACAACCCCACGGGCCACAGCAACUCAGAGAGAGAGAGAGAGAGAGAGAGAGAUGACUACGGAGAUGGAGAUGAAGAGAGGUUACGCUGUGGAGUAUGCAGGAGCGCGAAGAGGGUGACGAGCCGAGCACAGUCGAGGACGGGAGGUUCAACGAAGACUUUUUUGCCCCCUCCUACUUCGCAGGAAAGCUGCGAGUAAUCCGAUGGAUUUUAUAGCGUUGGCCCGAGAUAGUUACGAAAAUAUUGGAAGGAAAAAUUAUCCGAAACUUUAACUCAACAUGUACCGUGAUCUAUAAGGAAAAAUAUAGUAUAUAGAAAUGAAAGAUGAGUAGAAAAAGAAAUGGACGAUUGCUGUCAAAUUAAAACUAUUCCCAAGUCAACUUGUCGGUCCCUUUCCUUCCAUUAUAAUCCUUUUUUAUAAUGUAACUGAAGAUUACUGGCUUUGUCACAACCAACGUAAACCCUCCAAAAGGUAAAAGAACUUAUGCAAAAGUAUAAAAAUGAAAGAUGUGUUGAAAAAAUGAGGACAAUAACCAAACGCGUGCAACUCAAUUGCACUUUUCGAUAAGGAUAAACUGUACCUCUCCUCAUCAUUGAAAGAGAUGGGAUUAAAUGCCUCUCCUCAUCAUUGAAAGAGAUGGGAUUAAAUGCAGACGUGAUUGACAUAGAGAUUAUCACAAGAAAUUAAAUAAAAAUAAGUCUUUCUUGGUAACGAGAUGUUUGUUCUCGUGACCGUGUAGGUCUUUCUAGGUUCUCUGACGCGUGCCAUGAGGUCAUGGCAUGUUAUGCAACCAAAUAUAUCCAUUCUAUAUUUCUAUGGUAACUAUCCAUCGUUACCUCCUGUGAACCUAAGAAGAACAAAACCAAUCCAUAAAGCUGUGGAGGAUCAAGAACAACCUGCCAUAAGUUAUUGAUGAACUCAGUUAAUUGUUCGAAGCCUUAGAAGCGAAUCAUUAAAACUUUAAGCAACUAAAAUGUCAGAUGCCAAACAGAAGGAAAAUCUACAGAGCCAACAUCUGGAUCGGAUCAAUGAUGGCAUAUCAACAACUAAGGGAAAAAUCUGCUACUAAAUAUUUAUCUGAAACUAGAGGAUGACGUUGCACUUGCAUAACUCCGUUAACGCAGAUCAAUGGUCAUGCUCUGUCUAGCUUUGUUAGAAGUUUGAAAACUCUACACGGACAGGCACUAUUUGCAAGAAGACGUGUUCCCUAUGCUCAUCUUUGUACUGAGCUGGAAAUGCUUUUAGCAGAUAGCUGUGCCUCCAGAAACAAAUCGCAUGAAGUGGCCCACAAUUCUCUGGCAAGUCCGGUGUCGUACGAAACUGAAGAAGAGUUGAUAGUCCGGCCCCUCCCACCAAAGAAAUACACACCAGAAAUUUCCUAUUUUUGCAAGACAGCGGCUAUUAGUAAGCACUGUUCCAACAUAUAAUAGCAGCCACAUAAGAUUGAUACCAUAGAUUAUCAGCAGAGAAGGGAAAAUCAAUUCUGGAAACAUACUGUCAUACCGUAGAAUCAACAUUAAUGGAUUUUACGUCCAAUGUUAGUGUGACCUCAGUUGAGGAUAAAACGAGAGAGACUCAUUCAAGAUGGUUCAGAUAAGUGAAGCACCAGUACAGGAAUGCUUUACACCAGCCUAUUUAGUGGGAAAAGAUCACUAUCACCCAUAAAUGCAGCUGUGGUUGCCUAUUGAGAUGAAACCCAGGUGAUUUCAUUGCAGUCCCAUCUAGCAUAUAGCAGAAAUUAAAGAUAAUGAUUGCAGUCAGAAAAACUCACAGGAGGGGCAAGGGCUGCAUCCAGAACUGAGUUGACCGCACCUUCAGGUGAAUCCAAAAGACCCAUUGCAGUUAAAAAUGCAAAAGCUGUGUAGGACAGGUAAGGGGGAACUUCUCGCAUGAUACUGGUUUUCACUACUCCAGGAUCCACAGCACUGGAAAUAAAAAAGAAACAGGAUAACAUCUCAAUUGUGCUGCCAGCAUGUAUUCAUACACAAAACUUUAGAGAAAGACAAUCUACAAAGCCUAAGUACAUUUUCUUGUUUAUAAUCAACUAGUAUAGUAUCUCUGAUAACAAAAACCAGGUUUUCAACUAAAAAGGGAUAGCUCAUAGAUUUGUGGAAAGUGGUAAGUGGAAAGUUCAAAUUCAACUACCAUACAAACUUAAGGGUGAGAUUACACUGUCCUACAAGAAUGCUUAAAUCCAGAGUGGCAGGAUUGUUGAUACAUACAGAAUGGAAACAUGACAGGAGCUUUCCAAGCGAAGGCGUCGAUGAAGUUCAUAUGAGAACAGCAGAAGGCAUACUGUAAACAAACAGGAAACUCUUACUAAAGUUUGUGAGAAGAUGUGACAUUUGCUUCUCAAAUAUUGCUGUAUCUUUUAUUCUAUCCUUUCCUUUUUGGUGCUAGGCUUCUCGAAUAAAACAUGAAACUUACAUUUUGAAUAACCAUAGAUCUGUGCACAUGGAUACUGUUUCAUCCUGAAGGAACUCUUCCCAAUAACACUUUCCUUGUCAAAUGUCGCACCACAUACUGAAGAAGAGGAGAACCGAGGAAAAGGAGAUUUUAAAUAAAUAAAUAAAAACUAUGACUCUAAACCUAGUAUAACAAUUGCACUAAAACAGAAACUGCACAGAGAAGUUGGACAGCAAGAAACUACAAGCAAACAAUACCAACUAUUUGACAUCAUAAAAGAGUUCUGUAACUUAGACAUUGAGUACAGCUAUAUUGCAUGUUCUAGUUUUAGCUUGCUAUCUCAGGCACUGUUAAAGUCCUAGAUGGGCACCAUAUUUAGUUCACUAAUUGAAUGAAAAAAUGACAUGCCAUAAGGGUCAGCAAGCCCGGGUUUCACAGAGGAACCUCCUUGCAGGCUGGCCACCGGCUGCAAUCAGUGUUCCACAGAUAAAUGGAAGUGUUUCUGACCACAAAGUGAAAAUAUCUUACCGCUUCGAUGUGUAAAGGACGUGACAUUGACUAUCCGGGAUGGAACAGGGCUGUUUCUGAGAAGUGGUAAUAAAUGCUUUGUCAAAAAGAAUGGUCCCAUGUAGUUCGUUGCCAUCAUCCUGGUGCAUAAAGAGGUGGAGAGAAGAAUCAACAGGAGAUCAGGCAACAAUGCAUUAUGAAAGACUGCAAUUAAUAAAUUCCAUUCCAAAAAGAGAAAAGCAAAACAGUGGGAGAUGCCACUUGCUACCGUGGCAACAAAUCUCCACAAGUAAACUACAAGUUGACAAGGUAUAUAGGAAAAUCAAAAUCACUAGAACAUUAGACUUUCAAUUGGGAAAGUGACGACACUAUUAUCGUUACUUAUUUAGAAAUUAGAACAUAUGCAUCUCAUUAGUUAAAUCUAAAACAACAGAAUAUAUAUUCUCCACUGUGACUGCUGUAGUGUUUAGAUUGCCAAAUAUUUGGAUCUUUGGAAAGAAUAUUGCAAAAAAAUUCCCAUGGCAAUAAGAUAAUUACUCAUCGAAGCCUUCAGCUGUAAUUCUGUAGGAUGUUGCCAACAUUCCAGCAUUAUUUAUCAGAAGCUGGACUGAGGCAUGCAUAUUUGAUUCCAACAGCCAUUGCUCAAGGGAGCAUCUGAAGUGUAAGAUUGACUCGAUAGAUGAUAUAUCAGCUUGAAAAGCUUUAAGAUGGGCAUCCUUAUUGUGUUUACAAAUCUCUGCCACUCUCUGUGACCCAAAAAAAAAAAAAGAAUCAUUGAGAGCAUCAUGUAGAGCAAAGAAGCUAAAACGGAUGCCGCACAACAAGUACCUCUGACAACCUGUGAGCAGACCGUCCAACUGCAGAGAAAGCAUAAAUUUCAGUUAAAUAAUUGUACCUGCAUGGAUCAAAACUCAUUCUUCUUGUAACAAAGAAAAGAUGCAUUUUGCAUUAACUCUAAGGACAACAAACAGUCAUUCGUACAUUAUUUGUCACAUUAAGCAAUUGACAAGCUUUUCUCUUUGCUUGAAUCACCAAGUAAAGACCAGAGAACAUUCAUAUAUCUACCCAUAACUCUUCCUAUGAGAGUGUUCAUCACAGACUGGUGGCAUUUAUGUAGACAGCCUAUUUUUUUUUCCUCCUAAUGUAGCUAUCAUCAGGAUGAUCCAGCACAAGCAAUCACAGAAAAUCCAGGCAUGGGGUUGAACUAAGUGUUGCUACAUCCAUAUCAAAGGAAUGAGGAGGAUAAACCACAGACUGCGACAUUACCAAGGACAACAACGAAACCUUCUUUUGAAAGAGCAUAAGCAGCCGCUGCACCCAAACCAGAUGUAGCCUGCAGGCAAAAGGCAGAGAAAGCUCUCAGUAGGAUAAUCUAAUUGAGGACAUUUGCUACUAGCAAAAGAAAUCCGUCUUACGCCGGUGAUAAUGCAGAGAGGUCUCAGAGGAACUUCUAUGUUGGCAUUUCGAGGGUAUGAAACAAUUCGACCAAAAAGACCACGGCUGAAGAAUUGCCAGUAUGAGGCCAGCAAAGAGAACGUCCAAAGUACUGCCAUUAUCCAGAAGUCUACUGUACAAAUGAAACAAAAAGCCUCGACCAACUCCUUUGACAUUAUUCUCAUCUUUGCCACCAUGGACUUCUUACCUGUGUUGGCAAAGUGAAAACAACAAAACAAAUUCAGGAUACUAAUAAAUCCAACAGAAAAGUAUAUGCGCACGGUAAAGUCCUAAAGUUUAUUGGAUUAGGUAGUGGAACUCGAAUUUAAAUCAAGUGAAUGUCACAAUUAAGUACUGGAGAGACCCAAUCUACGGAGAAAACACGCACCCUUACAUGACCAGUGCAGCAAAAUGAGUGCCUUGUUAUUUGACAGUCAGAGUUGAGACCUCAGUGUUCAGUCUACAGGAAAAGUUUUAGCAACCUCGAGAGAGGUAAGAACUAGGCAGAUCUCACUAUGCAACCAUAAAUCAACUAACUUCAGGUGUACUUUCAAACAAAUUCUUUGACCAAGCAUCUGAGGGAAAUCAACAAUACAGAGUUCAACAUUCUAGUUCGUAAAUACUUUGGCCUUUUCAUUGUCAUGUAUGAAUGACGGUUUCCCUAUUGUUUAGAAUGUACAGCUUUGAAGUGUCUUAAUGCCACCUUGUCUUCCCACCACAGCAAACACAGACCCAGGUAAAGGAAUCAAAUGUUAAAUCCAGUCUUAAUAAAUUUACACAUCACAACACACAACCCAGUGAGCUUACUUCAUCGGUUAGAGUCACCAUGCUCACCCAGAGUAACAAGCACACCAUCAAAAGUAAGAUUAACAGAGAUAGCAAAUGAUAUAGCUUGUUUCAAAAUGAAAUUCUGUUCAUUUCCAAGCUCCAGACUUUCCACAUCAAAGCUUGACGUCUACUCACCCUAAACAGACGCAGCUAUAAAAUUAUCAUCUACCAGCAGAACUCGUGAAAUUCCACACAAUUCAAACGGGCCUACACGCACGUCACCGACCUAGACACGUUCCCUAUUAAACAUUAAACAAUCACCACCCCAAAUCAUCUCCAAGCUCAACGUCCUCACCAUGCAACAGCUCCAGAGCUCCAAAAAGACCCAACAAGUUUUUCGCCAACCUUCACGUCAACUCAAGCUCCCCCGCUCACUUCCUCCCUGACAAUACACACCCCCCACGAAGCGCGCUCUAAGAAGCAUUACGUCAAACACAUUGGGGACAUCGAAACUCCGGGCAGAGUUCUCCCACGAACCCAACGCAAAUGGGCAUCCACGAAAACAGGAACUUGCAGAGAGGCGAACGCGGGCGCUCGUGCAGAUCACUGUAAAGCUAUUGCAACGAAACGUGAAGGGUUGCGCCGGAAACGAAAGGGCGACUCACGGGGAACGUGAAAGGGUCGAAGGAACGAAGGAAGGCGAGAGCAGAGACGGGUCGCCUCGACUCGACACGGUUCUCGUCGAAACCAGGAGAGUCUUGAGAUUGACUGGAGGAAAAAUCCGAGCUUUACAAAAAGUUAGAUGCAGGAUGAGACGAACAUCCGGUUCUUCAACCCGAGUAAAAGCGUUGACACUAAGGGCAAACUUUUCCUUGCAUAUUAGGGAGAAUUAAGUGGGAAAUUUUCGUUUAUCGAAUUCGCCAACAUGUUUUCCAAAAAAAAAAAAAAGGAAAAAAAGAAAUCACUAACGUAAUUUCAUUCACUAUCACCCCUUUUGAAAAAUCAAAUCCAUGCAUGGGACCGAUUAAAUUUCAUUCGUCAAUCAGUACUCUUUUGUAUGAGAACUUGAAGAAAGAAUGACUCGCAAAAUACAUAAAAAAAAAUGGAACAUCACAAGAUAUGCAAAAAUUACUGUAAAAGAAUCAUAGAUUACAUGUUCUAACAAAAAGGAAUCAUUUAUUGCAUUUGUGUGAUGUAAACUAUACUGGAAUUAUUUCUUGUAAAUCUUGAGAGUGGUAGUAAUUGUGUCAACAUUUGGAAUCCUAUUAGGGAUAAAUAUAUUGAAAAUAUUAAAAUUUGUCACGAAGUUACAAUUUAACCCUAAAAUUUGACCAAAAAAAAAAUUCCAAUCAAAUUCUAAAAUUUGUUACAAAGUGUAAUUGAAUUUUUAAAACUUUUAAAAAGUACAUUCAAGUUCUAAAUUUUAUUAACAUUUUUCGUUUGUCAAAUUUGAUGGAGUUUAGGAAAAUACUUGAUUAUAUUAACUUGUCAAGUUGGCUUGGGCCAAGUUUGGCAUACCUAUAGUCCGUCGGAUCCAUGUUAAGGUCUACUAGCUUUGACCCUCCCUAGCUUUUGGGCUGGAUUGGGUCGCUGCGCCCAGCCCUUGCAGGAUCUCUCUCUCUCUCUCUCUCAACUUUCCCUAUGUGUUUUUUGGUUACUUUAACAUUUUUAUUUGUCUUUUGAAUUAAUGAUCUCACGUGGCAUGGUUCAAAUUACUGGGGUGUCAGAACCAAAACCAAAACUAAAAUCUAACCGAAAUUUCAUGCAUUUUUUAUUUGAUUUGGUUUUGGUUAGGAUAAUAGAAAGAUAACGGUUAUUUGUUUUCGAUUUGGUGAAUCGAACUGAAAUCCUUAAUACAAAUAAAUGCACAACUUAAAAUCCCUCCUUUUUCUCAUCUCUUAUUCUAUUUGAUUCCAAUGAGAAGGUAAAAAUCAAAAAACCAAAAACUGAAAACUGAAUUGAAAAUAAUCCAAUCGGAUUUUUAGUUCAGUUUGUAUUUGAUUCAGAUCGCAACUUGGUUUGCUUUAAUUACUUAUCUUAUCAGUUCGGUUUGGUUCGGACUUUAGGACAUUCGAACUAAAUCGAAACGUUGACGCCCCAUUAGCCACAUAGAUGAAGUCAUGUCUAUAAUUCAACAACGUUAAUUAUGAUGGUUGACGACAGAGUCAGCAAGAUGCAAAAGAUAUAGAAAUACAUCAAAAGAAGGAAAAAAUAGUUAGAGGACCCAAUCGCAGGAACAUCAGUACUAUAUCGAGAACAAAAAAUUGCUAUGAACUAAAUCAUACAUUAAAAGUAGGAAACAAGGAGAACUAACACGACCGUUAAUAGCAGCAUUGACAUCUAUGUCCAUGGAGAAUUUUUCUUACGCAACUACCACAGGUGGAUCCCAGCUAAUUUGCUGUCUAUCUAAUCCCGGGUGAAAACGGUCGGGCCUUGGUUCGGAGCCGUCGAGGACACACGACCAUCCUCAACGCUCCAAGCUCGUCCUCCUCCGGCGCAGUGGCUCGGCCUCAUAUCCUCUAAGCUUCACGGCUUUGUAAGUCACGGCGCCAGCUAUGGCUCCGAGCGGAGGAGCCACCAUGUACAUCCACAAUCCUUUGUAGUUCCCUGCGGCCACGGCCGGGCCGAGAGUCCUCACGGGGUUCAGGGAACCUCCGGUCGGCAUCCUGCAUUUCCCGGGAACAUUGUUAAGGAACAUUAUGAAAGCUAAAAUUCUGUAACAACGCGUCCAUACUUGCACGCCCGAAGGUGAGUAGUUUCAGUACAAUGCUUACCCUGUCACAAGAACGCCAAGCAGCACCGUUGCUCCGAUUGCAAUACCUGCCAAAUCUCCUACCUAUCAUCAGAAAAAAGGAACAAAUGUAAGUGAAAUGGAUACAUGCUGUAUACAGAUGCCACGAGUACAGAUAGAGGAAGAGUCGAUAUGCAGCAUGGCGACGUACUGCACGAGUGUCGGUCACCACCGCGACGAUCACGAACGCGAGAAUGAAAGUGGCGAGAAACUCGAGAGCAAACGCCUGUCCGAUGUCCACCGAAGGCACCGUGACGCCGCCGUUGGCAAAGGGAUGGAAAACGCCCUUGAGGACGUAGGAAGCACACAUCGAGCCCGCAACCUGCGCCGCGAUGUAGCCAGGCACCUGGAUCCAUGGAAAGUGCCAGAUCACCGCGAGGGCGACUGUCACCGACGGGUUCAGGUGGGCUCCUGAAAUGUGACCGAUCGAGAAAACUAUGAUCAUCACGGCGAGCCCAGCGCAUGCCGCGUUCCCAAGCAACGUCUCUGCUCCGUUGUACUUUUGGUUCACAAUGGGCCCGCCCACCGCGCAAAGUACUAAGAAGAAGGUUCCAACGAACUCUGCUCCGACCUGCAUCGUUCAUGUAAAUCUAAAUAAGAAAAUCUAUCCUAUCUUUCUUUCUUGGUUUCACUCGCUAUGAAAAGGCAUAAGAAUUAUCAGUUUAUGCUGCAACAGCUAGCGAGCCUGUCUAAUCUUUACUGAUCUUUGAGGUCGAUUGGGCUUUACCUUCCGCAACGAAUCAUACUUAUCCGGCUGGAGACGCCGAACACCUUCCGUUGCACCGUCACUCGGCGCACACCACUUGCACUGUACCACGGACCCGUCCUCCGGCAACGAUGAGUCCACUUGCAACGUCACAGAUGCCGGUUGGCACAUCUUCUCUUGCCUGGACAGCUCGAUGGAGAUUAAGGGAGACCAGAGGUCGCGAAUAAAGGAUCAAGAGAUCGAUGAGAAGAGAGAUCAAGACGAGAGGGAGCCUUCAGUCUGUUGCCUCCGUCUAUGAUAGUUGAUUGCAGCGACCCCAAAAGCAUUUUAUAGGAGAGAAGACAACGGCUUUAACAUCGCCAACAUCAUCUUCUUGUUCACUAGUUCGGCUUGUUGACUCGCUCCAUAGGAUUCGGUCAUUCAUAGUAGUUCGGACUGUCUGCACCUUGACUAGAUCUAGGGUUACUCUAUACAAGUAAUGAUUUGACUCGGUUUGGCAUGCUCAGAAAAACUUGGAGGGCACGUUUCUAUUUCUGAAAUUUAGGUGUGCAAGUCUACAUUUGUGGACCAGAUAUUGAAUAUUUAAGACCGAUUCUAUAAAGAGAAGAUCCAUCAAAACGUAUUUUCUUUUUUUUGUUUGGGGGGGAAGAGUUAAGGGCUGCGUUUGUUUUGAUUUCUUUUUUCUGUUUUUAAACAAUUUUUUUUGUUUUUUUGUUCCUGGGAACAAAAAAGGAACAGAAACGCGUUUGUUUGCAUUUUUAUUCCAAAAUUAUUUUUUUGUUCCCAGAAACACAUCUGGAACAAAAACAAGAAACAAAAAAAAAAGUUGUUUCUUGUUUCUGGAACAAAAUUUAGGAACACUUUCUUCUUCUCUCUUUUUUCUUCUUCUUUUCUUCUUCUUUUUUCUUUCUUUUUUCUUUGGCCGGUCGCCGGCCUCAACAAUUGAACCUUCUCAAACUGUUUCUUCUUAAGAACCAAAAAUAUUUGUGCCAAAAUAACAGAUGCCAAGAAGAACAAAAGGCCUUGGACACGGAAUGGAUCUUGAAGUACUAUUUCCGCAUCUCCUUGACCAAAUCCACCCACAUUAGGAUUACUCGUUAAUGGCUGAUCAAGUUUGAUAGAUUCGCCUUCGGAAACAAGAAGUUCUGGCCCUGGUGGAAUAAUAUCAACCACUUGACGUUCAUCUGACGCAUCCGAUAUGGUUAUUUCGUACCCCCCUUUUUCUUUUCGUAUGAUUUUACUUACUACACCAGCCGCUGUAGCAUUAUAAACUGUAUUGUUACUCUUGCUCCCAUCGGGAUAAAUCUGACCCAUUCCUCUGUUCCCGCCUACAUAUAUGGGAUAUUUUAAGAAGUGAACAUCUUUAUUAGUAGCGGGGUCCGGGGAAAGAAUAGGAAAGGUGACUUCACUAUAUUUCUGACCAGAAACAGGACCUAUCACAAGAAUAUUUUUUUUAUUGGGGCGAUAGCUCUGAAAAGACAGAUUGCCUAUCUUUUCUUUCAUCUCGGGCGAAAUACGAUCGGGAGGUGCUAAUUCAAAUCCCUCAGGUAAAAUAAGAACAGCCCCCACAUUCAAACCUCCCAUUUUACCAUUAGCAAGAACUUGUUUAACUUGCAUAUCAUAAGGAAUUCGAACAACUGCUUCAAAUACAGUAUCAGGAAGUACCGCUUGCGGAACCUCAAUAUCCACGGGCUUAUUAGCUAAAUGGCAAUUGGCACAUACAAUACGUCCGGUCGCUUCUCGUGGAUUUUCAUAACCCUGUUGUGCAAAAAUGGGAUAUGCAUUUGAAAUGGAUGUCCGAGCUAUGAUAUAUAUCAUCAGCGAUACGGAAAUAGAUCGAAUAAUCUCUUUCUUUAUCCAAGAAAAGGUGUUUUUAGUUUGCAUGGUCCAAUCAUUGAUCCCGAAAAUUUCUACAAUAAAAUUAGGUAGGUCGCUUGUAUAGUUCCCUAUCCACAAUUCUGCUAUUUACUUUAUUGAAAUCAUUUUACUGGAAUAUAAGGAGUAGGAGAAAUCCCUGUAGGGUAGAAAGAGUAAGUACGUCUUAAAAUGGAAAUGCUUUGCUUAUGUACCUUAUGUUACAAAGUAACAAAUAUUCUAGUUAGAUCAGUCAUUCAUUGAAUGAUAAAUCACUACAAGUGAUGGAGAUAUACGAUUUAAAUAGCGGAAGAUCCAAUAUUUAAAAAUUGUAUCCAGAAUGACUGGAAAAGUAGAAACAAGACCCGAUAUAAUUUGAUCGUUGUGAGCAAAUCCAAAAUCUUUGUAGACAUAGCCAAUCAUUAGUUCCCAACCAUGGGGCGAAUGGAAUCCGAUACAUAAAUCAGUUAAUAAAAGAAUAGAAAAAGCUUUUAUUGUGUCACUUAAGUUAUAUAGGAAUUCUUGAACCCAAGAGUUAAGAAUAGCAAGUUCUUCAUUACCCAGAAUAGAAUAACCACUUAAAAUAAUGAAAGAGGUUAUAUUUGUCGAUAAGUGAAAAAUCAUAUGGAUAUGAUCCUCAUUGUGCAUCUUGAUCAAUUGGAUCGUUUCUUUGUGGAUUCCUAUACGAAGUGUUUGUAGAUGUGUUUCCGGGUAUUCUUUUAUCAUUUCGUCCAAGAGUAAGAGUUCUUCCAAUUCGAUGAAUUUUUCUAGAAUACUCUUUUCUUGAAUAUCAGUCAAAAAAGUUUCGGAUUGCCUAGUAUUCCACCAAUUAGUAAUCCAAAAUUCAAGACUUUUAUUAAAUGAGAGAGAGAUCCACCAGGGCAAAAAUACUAUAGAUGUAAGAUAUAGAAGAGGAAGAAAUGCUUUCUUUUUUACCAUUUUUUCAUCUUUGAAUUGUUAAUGAAUCCACCUCAUUUGUUGAAUCUAUGUGAUCUACUAUUUCUAUUAACCCUAAGUUCUAUUACAGGGCAUCGGGCCUCGGCCAUGGCCGGCGACCGGCAGUCGAGGGCCGGUGAGGCCGAGCGUCGCCGGCCCUUGGUGAGGCCGACCUCGCGCCGAGCUAGGCGAGCUCGGCCUCGCCGGGCCACUGCCAGGUCGGCAUCGCCUGGCAGUGGCCCGGCGACGCCGAGCCUCGCCAGCCACUGAUUGUCACUUGCUUUUAGUCAUGCAUUCAAAACUGUAAGAUUCAUGCACUAUAAGAUAACCAGACAAGCGAAAAAAUGAUGUGCAUUUCAGUUGAGGUGGCAAGACCAAUUAGAUUGAAUUCAAACCAAAUAAAGCUUGACGCAUAAAAGAGAAAUGUUGUGCAUUGAGCGAAUAUAUGACAAAAUAAGUGCAAAGAGAGUCAUUGAUGUUCUAGCACUUUGGCCAAUUGAGUUCUUAAAAUUUUACUUUGCUUAAUUGAAUCCUUAGCAUUUUCAAUUUUAAUCAAUUGAGUCCCUCAAGCUUGAUCCUCGGAAAUAGCCACAUGGCUAUGAUUUUCCAAGUUGAUAAGAAGAUGCUCGACAAUAAAACCAGGUGAGCCUCUCAAGGGCUUCAUUGGCAUAAUCAUCAGUAUCACUUCGAUUUUUGGGUAUACGUGCUACACCGCACAGAGGUCUAUCAUUUCUUGGAUAUACUUCAUACCUCCCGUAGUGCUACCCGAAACGGUUUUCAUACCUGCAAAAAGUUCAUUGUGAGCAACUUACUUUCUUCACCUAUCAGGUAUCAAUAUUUCAUUCAGUAAUGAGCUUUGAGAACAAAAACAUACCGAGGUUAAGGCUUGCUGCAUUGAAUUUAAUUUCGCUUUGGGACCCAACCGAUGCUAGAACGCCACCCGUCUUCAAAAGAGACAUGUAAGGAUCAAAUGGGUGAUCAGCAGAUACCGUGUCAAUUAUAAAGUCCAGGGACUUAGCCAUGGCUUGCAUGUUACGAUUCAUCAGAUCACGGCAGCACUUGACAUCCAUGGAUCUAAAGUAUUAAUAAUUCAAAAUCUUCCCGUUUACCUUCAUAUGUUCUUGGUCAGAUGAGAUAACGAAAUGGUCAGCACCAAGCAAGCUCAGUGCUUCCUCCUUUUUAGAAAUGCUUGUACUGAACACGGCAACUUUCAGUCCAAAAGCCUUCCCAAGCUUAAUUGCCAUCUGACCGAGCCCACCAAGUCCAAUUACGUCGAAAGACUUACCCGGUUGGUUCAUCUUGUGACGCACCAUUUGAAUGUAUACUGUGAUUCCAUCACAGGGCAAUGGUGCUGCUAAAGCCAACGGGUAGUUUUCUGGAAUCCUAAGGCAAUACCUGUCAAUGAAGCACCACAAUUAAGUUUCCAAAUCAUGUAAUUUUUCUAUUCCCCUCGAUCAUGUCUCUAAGGGACACGAUAUUCCUGUGACUGUUGGAUACAAGAAUCCGUGAAAGCAUAUACAUUUCAUUACCCAUUUGAUCUAACACUUACUAUCUAACUCUUGGGAACAAUCUAAAAAAAGGGAGGAAGCGGAGACAAAAGGCAAGGAUUGAGCAAUUUCCAUCUCUCUCUCUCUCUCUCUCUCUCUCUCUUUUAAUUAAGGGUUAAUAUCCUAAAAAAUCCCAAAUUGGUACACAUGUAACAAAUUUACCUUGACAGACUAUAAAAAACUCUAAACUUAUAUAUUUAUGACAAAUUUACCCCAAACUAAUUUAUUUGACCGCAAAAAAUCUCAAAAUGGUAAAUUUGUAACAAAUAUACCCUUCACUAAAUUGGAUUAAUACCACAAAAAGAUCACAAAAAUUGUAAACCGUGACAAACGGAGCAUGAAAUCUCAAAUUGGUAUUACUAAUCAACUGUCACGUGCCAUUUAACUUAAUAAUUUGACAGUAAAAUUUAAUGAAAACUAAUAGAGGGUAAAUUUGUCACAAGUGUACUAGUUUAGAGUAUAUUUGUCAAAAGUAUACCAGUUUGGAGUUUUUAGUGGUCAAAAAACUAGUUUAGAGUAAAUUUAUCAUAGGUGUACCAGUUUUGAGUUUUUUAGGGUAUUAACCCUUUAAUUAAUUUAGUUUUAAAUUUAAUGUUAUUAAUGUUUCAUGAAAAUUCAUAUGUUAGAUUUAUUGGCUCACAUGUCAUUGUCACUUGAUGUGUAUGAUAUAUAGAAUAGUCCAAGAGUUUUGACUUUAGAUGCUUGGGAACUCGCGAAUGGUCAUACAUUGUCGGUUACACAUUCAAUAUGAUGUAUUAGCUAAUCAUAGUCCUCUAACGGUUUAUAUUUGCUUAAUAUAUUUCAAGAAUAUUCAUUUGUUAGACUUGUCCGCUCACACGCCACUGUCACUCGAUGUAUAUGAUAUGCAGAAUAGUCUAAGAGCUUUGACUUUAGACACUUGGGAGUGUCUAUGCUUGUUUUAUGUCUGUUAUGCUUGCAAUGCUUCUGGUUUUGAGUGGACAGUACAAAUAUUUAAGUCCAUGUCAAUUUGAACAAUUUUCUUUAUUAUAGAGCAACCGUCUUUAAUCUAUUGUGUUCUUGACCACAAAAAACCAAAUAACAAAUAAGUAUUAAUUAUUGUAGGGUCCAACAACAAUCUUUAAUCUAUUGUGUUCUUGACCACAAAAAACCAAUUAACAAAUAAGUAUAAAUUAUUGUAGGGUCCAACAGCAAUCUUUAAUCUAUUGUAUUCUUGACAACAAAAAACUAAAUAAUAAAUAAGUAUACAUUAUUAUAUGGCCCACUCCUUUAAAAAUUUGUUGCUCACAACAACUUAUUUAUUCUCAUAAUAACCCAAAGUUAUGCUAGCAAAGCUCUUUUGAGUAAGUGUAUUGAAAGUUUUAAAAACUUGUCACUAAAGUGCAUUAAGUCCUGAAACUUUCAAAAAAUACAAUUUAAUCCUAAAAUUUGUCACGAAAUGCAAUUGAGUCUUAAAAUUUUCAAAAAGUAAAAUCAAUUAUAAAGAUUUAUCAAUAUUAUAAGGGACAAAACCAAAAGCUGCAUGCAAUAAAUCAGACAAAAUUCAUUAAUUUAUGACCAUCAAGCAAGCGUCAGACAUUAGCAAAUGAAUGUAUUAGCAAUCGAAAAUACAUCGAAAACAAAAAGUUAAAAGCUCAUAUCUACCUUUCAUUCUUAUGCUUUGUAAGCCCCUCUGACCUUAGUGACCGCAAGGAUUUUACUGUGGACUCAAUGAGAUCCAUCUCAAGCUCCACCCUUUCAUGUGUCCAGCACUGAAGCAAAAGGAAAAUCGCAAUAAUGCGAUGAGGAUGAAACUAACCCAUUGAAUUUCUGAGUAAUCCAUCAAGUACAAGUUACCCAUCAUUCGGCCACUAAGCUCCUCCACUAUGGCCCUCAAUUGCUGGAUGCUUACUACGAGCGCUUCAUCCCUUCGUAUGAAGUCAACAUUUCUUUGAUUCACACUUUCUUUGCAUGACAUAUUUUAAACCUACAAGUAAACGUUAGUCACAAAAAUCCUCACCAAUUGCUCCCUCACGUGUUUCUCUCAAUGUGUUUGUCACUCCCCUCGUGUUUAACUCAAAUUUAGGCUUUUUCCCUCUCGUAUUCUCUUUUCACAAGUUCUUUAUUGGACUCAAAAUCAGUCUCUCAGCCCCCUCACGACAAUCAAUCAAAAUAAUCAAACAAGAUUAGAUUACUAUUAAUUUUGUUUCAGCAAGUAACAAUUUCAAACCAACAAGUAUAACUUUCGAAAUUCUAAUUGAAACGCAAAUCACUACUGAUUUUGUUUCAAUUCGGUCCACAGUCGCCUUCUUGAUUUUUUUUUGUUCAGCUUUUUUUUUCUGCUGAAUCUUUUUUUUUUCUCUAGCGCACUUUUUUUUUGUGUGCGUUUUCUUUCUCUUCUUUUUUUUUUUUUACGAACUUUCUUUGUUUUUUUUUCUUUCUUUUUUGACAAACUCAGAUACAAUUUAAGAUGAUAGGAAAAAAAAUAUUAAAACUAACAGCAAACAAUUACGUAUGGAAGCACAAAAGUAAUCAGAUCCCUAAAUUGGCUAGAACCGAAACCCUAACUCAAUAAAUCUCAAAUUGCUGAAUAUAAACAGAAAAUUAAAGAUAAAUAGACAUUGUAGAAGUAAGCUCUGAUACCAAAUGAUGUCAAUCGUUGUGGAAAAAUCAUUCUACGAAGGCCUGGAUGGUGCGAAUUGCAAACCUCGACCUCCAAUCAAACCUGUGAUUGAUAACCUCGAUAUGAACGUGAUCAAACCUACGAUUGAGAACCUCGGUAUGAACGUGACCUAUUGACAAACGCAUGUCAACCAACCAAACCCACGAGCGAAAGAAUAAGGUUAAGUUCUCAAAAAAUAGUAGAAAAGAAUCUCUCAACUUUUUUCAUCCAUAUAUAUAUAUAUAUAUAUAUAUAUAUAUAUAUAUUGACUUGGUCAAAUAUUUGAUGAUCAGAUAAUCAAAUUGUGCAAAGAUUUCUAAGAUUCUUCAAGAUUUAAUCCAAAGCCAUCUCUACGCCGAAGAUCAUGAACCAUGACGCUAACAGCUUACUUGAAUUGCUUGGCUCGUGCUCGAGUAAUUGAACCAGUAGGAAUAGACAAUGGGUCUCUAGCACCACCUCAUCGAUAUGGCUUGAUGUCCACAUCAUAAUGCAUGCGAAGGAACAAGCCGAUUGCCACUUGAUGUUAGUCAUUCAUGCAAAACUGUAAGAUUCAUACGCUAUAAUAUAGCCAAACAAGCAACCAAAAAAAAAAAAUAAAAAAUAAAAAACUAAAAAAAUGAUCUGCGUUGCACUUGAGGUGGCAAGGGCAAUUAGAUUGUAUUGAAACUAAAUGAAGUCCGUUGCAUUAAAAAGACAAUCAAAUGAUGCAUUGAUCAAACCUUCUCUUCCUUCUUCUUUUUCCUCUCCAGGUCUUCCACGCCUUCCGACUUGUUAUCCGGUUGAGACUGCACGACCCACAUCGACUCAUCAAUCUGAUCAUUACAAUCAUAGACUUGCCAUUUCCACAGCUAACCCAAUAACUCAAGCUACAAUCAGACGAGCUUCCACCCAAGAAAACAUACCAUUUCGAUGGUUGGUAAGCGUGAGACUGCAACCAAAGUUCGAUUCCGACAAGAGAAAGCACCGGGACAGAUGGUUGAGCUCCGUUUAGAAGUAGACCCAACAGCCGCCGGCGAACAAGGGUGGCGACCGUGACUUCAAAGAGACGACUUGACGGCGACCGAGCUCGGCGGAGGCGAGGGCGGCGGGACUUGUCAGCAGGGAUUUUUCUGACAGUGUCAGACUGGCACGACUCUGACGUUUUUUUAAUUAACUAAAGAAAGAAAUUCGUAAUACGACGUGGGCAGCCCGCAGGAGGGCGAAAUAAGAGUUUCCUGUUCUUAUUUUAUUUUAUUUUUAGCCUUUUCUGCUUAUUAGCAAAUAAAAUUUAUUAAUUUGACACGAACAUAUAGUGGUGUAUUUCCUACUAGUAAUAUAAAUUUAUAGAUUUUAAGGGAAGACUUGGAUCGUAAUUGUCAUUGGAGAGGAAGUGAAUGAUGAUAUAACAUGAGUUAAUAGACGUAAGUGAAAAAUGUCACAAAAGAAAUCGUGUUCCGAUAUUAAUUUUGUCAAUAUAUUGAAAAGGCAACAGGUUUCGUAUUCUUCUGGACAGAAAUGAAAGGUCAAAGGGAAACGAGAAGGACUGAGCAAAUAAAUGACAAAAUAUGAGCAAUGGAAGUCAUUGAUCGUUUGCCGUUUGACUGAUUGGAUUCUAAAUAUUUUAUUUUCAAUUGGGGUCUAAAUAUUUAUUUGGUCCAAUUGACUUCUAAACAUUUCCAAUUUUAGUCAAUCACGUCCCUCGAAUAUUAUUGUCGGAAAGAGCCACAUGGCUGUGAUUUUCCAAGUGGCCAAGGAGAUGCUUGAGGAGAAAACCUGUAGGAGAGGCGAAGCCAUUCAAGCAGAACUCUCAAGAAGCCAAUUUUUCAGACAGUUUCUCAAUCAUCACAUAGAAAAGUACCAGGAUUUCAUUACCCAUUUCACUUAUUUCUGCUAUAAAACUUACGGGUAUCGAAGUAUAUCAGGCAUAGUUUAUUUGUACUCCAGCAGAGAUAGUAAAAAGGCACAGAUGAUGCUCUCCUCUAGCUGAAACUCCCACUUUUCCUCUCUGUGUGAUCAGCUUUGCCAGCAACAAUUUCCAACUUCCCAAAUUGAUGUUCAAAUUUAAUCAAAUAGACUCAGAGAAGAAAACACACGAGAAUUGUUGCUAUAACUCUUGUUACUUUAUUCAUCAAAACAUCCAAAUCACUUAGCAAGAAAAUAGCUAUAGAACAACAACAACAACAAAGACCCACUGACAUACCCCACCGACCAAACAUGUGGAGAAACUAACUCCUACAAAAAAGCCACUUCCUAUUGACUAGGACUCCACUAUUACAUUAUUGAAGACACGUAAAAACUGUAAGUUAACUACUUCAACAAUUGAUGGUGUCACUUCAAGGAGUUCUCAAUGUCGAUCACGAAUCGAUACUUAACAUCUCUCUUGAUGAGCCUCUCCAGAGCUUCAUUGGCAUAAUCAAUCGGUAUCACUUCAAUAUUUGGGUAUAUCUUCUGCGCUGCACAUAGGUCUAUCAUUUCUUGGGUAUCCUUUGUUCCUCCCGUUAGGCUACCUGAAACAGUUCUCAUAUCUGCCAAACGUUCACCACGAGCAACUUAGUUCACCUAUCAGGUAUGAAAUUUCAUUUAGUAAUCAGAUUUGAGAACAAAAACAUACGGUGGUUAAGGCUGGCUGGACUAAAUUUAACUUCGCUCGAGCCGACCAAUGCUAGAAUGCCACCCGUCUUCAAAACAGACAUGUAAGGAUCAAAUGGGUGAUUGCCGGCUGCCGUGUCGAUUAUAAAGUCUAGGGACUUAGCAAUGGCCUGCGUGCAUUGGAUUUAUCAGAUCACAACAGAAUUUGACCACCAUGGAUCUCAAUGUGGAUAAUUCUAGUUUUUCCUUUUUUUACCUUCAUCUGCUCUACGUCAGAUGAGAUAACGAAAUGGUCAGCCCCAAGCAGGCUCAGUGCUUCCUCCUUUUUAGAAAUGCUUGUACUGAACACUGUGACUUUUAGUCCAAAAGCCUUCCCAAACUUAACUGCCAUAUGACCGAGCCCGCCAAGUCCAAUUACACCUAGAGACUUACCGGGUUGGUUCAUCUUGUGACGUAUCAUUGGAGUGUACACCGUGAUUCCAGCACAGAGCAGUGGCGCUGCUAGAUCCAUCGGGUAGUUUUCUGGAAUCCUGAAGCAAUACCUGUCAAUGAAGCACCACAAUUAAGUUUCCAAAUAACACCAAGAGAGGAAGUGAUUUCCCAAUAGAAUCAGCAUCCUGUCUUUUUUGUCUAAAAGGAAUCAAAUCACAGAGCCAGAAAUCCUAUCUUCCGCAUGCUUGGGAAUGUUACUUGCUUAGACCACAAUUCAGCAUCAUGUUGUUUCCGUGAUCCUUGUUCUGACCACAAAUUGCUCAAGACAAACAUUUCUUGCUGUAGCAACGAAAAUAACUCGAUUAAAAUUAAGAAAAGACACUUGCUCUAAGAAAGGAAACUGGUGGCAUAUCACAUAUGCUUGACUGAACACGUAAUUUCUCUAUUUCUUUCAAUCAAUUCCUCCGAAGGACUCAAGAUUCCUGUGGCUCUAUCAGAUACAAGAAUUAGUGAAAGCACAUACAUUUAGCUACCCAUUUGAUCUUAUACUUAUGAUCUAACUUUAACAAUCUAAGGACAGCUUAUUCCAUUCUUGACAAUGGUUAUUGAAAAGAAAGAAUUUCUUUUUGCAUUUAAUAAAGCCAAUUCUCCAUUGAAUGGUCUGAAUGGUAAUUGGAUACAGAGGACUUAAAGACCCUCCAGAGCCGUUAUAGAAAGUAUCUUUAUCCUUUUCCACAAGAUGCAUUAUGCUACUUCUGGUCACAAUCAGAAUACGAAGAAAAUUAGCAGAGAAGAAGACAUGACAUGAAAUCUUUUUUUGGCCACCAUGAUUUGAAAUUCUUUCACAGUGCAAAAUGCUGCCUAAUAACAUUGUGUUAAUAAGCAAUUACCUUUCAUGGACGACAAUGUGACUAGAAUAUCCUCCCUUUGUCACUGUACCGUCCGUAUCGAUUCGGUCAAAAGUCAAAACCAUCUUUUCACAAUGGACUUCUAGCCCGUCAUUGCAAUACUCGCACUCUCUGCAUGAAUUGACAUAAGUUCCCACACCCACAUGAUCGCCAACUUUGAAGCGUUGGACACUGGAGCCAACCUGUUUCACAAUUCCAACUAUCUCGUGCCUGAAUCAAUCAAAAAAGUCAUUCGCAAAUUUUGUUCAGAGAAUUAUUAGGAUGGUGCUAAGAAAAAAGAUUAACAUUCGAAUCACGCUGCAUCCUACCCUGGCACCAGAGGAUACUUGGAGGUUCCCGACAUAUUCCUAGUCCAAGCCACAUCUGCAUAGCACACUCCGCAGUGCGUGAUCCUAAUCGAGACGUCAUCGCUUCCCACGGUCCUAAAGAGAGAAUUCCCAAACAGAUGAGCAUCUAAUCAAGCAACUAAUCAGACUCAGUUACCUUUUGUUCUCAUUUUUCAGAUCAAUAAACUAAGCGUGACUUACAAUAAUCAUACAUUCAACCCAAAAAAAAAUUUAAGAAAAGAGAAAUGAAAAGGAACCAAAUCCAUGACUAUAGGCAUUUGUCUGAAUAGUACAUACAACCUCAAAUGCUCACAAAGGCAGCACCCGAAUCCUAAUGUCUGCCAUGAAGUUCUAAGCAACUCAUUCUGGGACAUGACAUAUCAUGCGUACAAACAAUUCUCUACCCAGAAAUUAGUGCAUACACAACAAAAUUUAUAAAAGAAAAACGAAAUGGUUUGGUCAAUGUGGAAAUUUAAAUAUAUGACAAGCAUCAAAAACUGUUUUGCAUUACAGGUGAGAGGAUAAGACCUGAGAACACUGUAUUGAGACUUAUUCAGACAAAUACUUCAAUAGAAAUUGAAAGUAUAAGGAGCAGAUGAAUUAAAUAAAGAACAGUGGUAACAGUAAUACCUGCGGCUGAAUUUGUAGGGGGAGAGACGUCCAGAAGGAUCUCUGGCAGCCCAACCAAGACAAUCUUCCUUCGCACCCUCUGAACUCAUCGUUCCUCACCGACCUCAACUGAAAUCGACCCACAAAAAAAUUGCUGUGUUAAUCUCUCAAUAAGCUGAAUUAUGGAAGAAGAAGAAGAAUUAUUUUCGUGAAAGAGAAAUGAAGAGAAAAUCAAACCGGAAAACAGAAGUUCAAAUGGUCAAAAGGCCAAAUGUCACGAAGACUUGGCAAUUCCGUUUCCGUGCAGACAAGAUUUUGCGGUCUGACUUUUGAGCAAAGAGCGAGAUUAGCAGAGAGCGAGGUUGAGCGCUCAAAAACCGUCACCUCUUUAUAGAUGCCAUAGCGUCGCCUGUUCUUGAUUUUUUUUUUCGUUUUAUCUUGUGGAAAAGAAUUAGUGCCAAACGUAAGCCAUUACCCUUCACUAGCCAAUGAAGUAUGCAGUGACGUCUUCUGGAGUACGGUUCUUGGUAUUUUUAUUUAUCCUCCCAAUAACAAUUGCAUUAUUAAUUUAUUCACACAUUAAAUAUGUCAAUAGGCAACAUGUUGACGCAUAAAAUAUGUCAUGAUCCUCUAGUGGUAUGUAUUCGAUUCAUCUAUUUUAAGAAUAUUCACCUUCAUCUAUUUUAAGAAUAUUCACCUUCUUCAAAGAUAGUGUUAGUAUAUGCGGAAACAUGUGUUUGAUAUGUAUGCAAGCAAAAGAACUAAGGGACAAUGUGAGCAAGAAAUAGUGGGACAAAGUAAUAAUAGGAAUGUGUAAAAGAGAAUGAGGCUGAGGCGGUGAAGGAGAGAAACUUGAAUGGAAGUCAACAAUAGUGGCUGAAGAAGAAACUAGUAUGUGGACAGCAAGAGUACUUGGAGAAGAAGAAAAUGAGUUGUCAGCUGUACUAUGGCCUAUGGCGGUGAAAAAGUCAAAAAUGUCAUGCUUGAAGUCGGUUGUAAUUGCCUAUAAAUAGGCUUGUCGUUCAUUUAUUUGGUGUGUGUGAGGUGAACCCUUCACCUUGUGUGGGGGUGAACCCUCCACUGUGAGAGGUCUUAAACCUCCGCUAGGACCAUAUGGAGAGUGACUAUUCAACACCUCCAUCAAAUUAUUUUGUCUUCUUCAAUAAGUUCUUGACAGCUGGAGUUUGAUGAAGAAACUUUGCUUCAUGCUUUCCGCUACUUGCUAUUUCCGAUGCACGUAGACUUCUCUAGCCUAUUCUAGGAUUUCUUCUUCAACUUGGGGUUUGCUUGCUUGUAUUCCCAUGUGAAUCUUCUAGGUUCAGCUAGCAACCACCAUUCUCAACAAUUCUAGACAAUCUUCAACAUGGAUGUUGCUACCAACGUUCUCGCCUUCAUGAUUAAGUUAAUAGUUUCUAAACAGUUUUAGAGAAAAUGGAUCAUAAUUUUCAACAUAUAGUAUUUUGGAGAGAAAAGUAUUUCAGCAGAAUUGUUCAAGGAUUUACAGAUCACUACAAUAUCACCGGAAGCAAAUAAUUAUCCAUCAUUGACAUGAACGAUAUAGCAAAAAUUCUUUUACUUGUUUACCUUAAGUUUAGCAAGAUCUGCUUAAACGACAACCUUGAGUAUCUUCAAUUCCCUUUCUCUUGCCUUCAAAAAGAUAUUGAAAUGCAACGCAGAAUCAAGACAGAUUGUCAUUAACAAAGCUGUAAAAGCCUACUCAAUCUGGCAAAAUUGGGGACAGUGUUUUCCAGCGAUCUUGACUACCUCGGUAGCUGCUGUGCAAAUGGAUAGGAAUGCAUGCAGAGGGACAAGCUGAUUGUUACCUACUUUUAGUCAUUCAUUUGAAACUGUAAGAUUCAUGUGCCAUAAGAUAGCCAAACAAGCGGGCAAAAAAUGAUGUGCCUUGCACCGAAGGUGGCAAGAGCAAUUAGAUUAAAUUCAAACCAAAAAAAGCUUGAUGCAUAAAAUGAAAAGUCAUCCAUUGAGCAAAAAAGGGUGCGUUUGGUAAGGUUUCUGUUUAAAAAUUGUUUCUGGGAACAUAAAUAAAAAAAAGUGUUUCUGUUCCAAGGAACAAGUUUUGAACAAAAAAACGCAUUUGGUAAAUCUGUUCUAGAAAUAUAAAAAAAAUAGAAACACGUUUGGUAAGUUUGUAUAUUUUUUUUUAUUUCUUUUAAUUUUUAAUAUUUUUAUUUUUAUUUUCUAUUUUCUUUCUUAUUUUUCUUAUUUAUUUUUCCUUUUUUUCUUAUUUAUUUUUCCUUUUUCCUUUUUUCUUCUUUUGGCCGGUCGCCGGCCUCGGCCAUGGCCGACGACCAGCCGACAAGGGCCGGCGGCCUCACCCAGCCAUGGCGAGGCUCGCCGGCCGCUGGGCGAGCUCGGCCUCGCUAGAUCUGGGCGAGAUCGAGCUCGCCCAGCCAGGCGCGAGGUCGGCCUCGCCGCGCUGUGCCGACGGUGACCCAGAGCCACACCAUCGUCUCCCUCCACCGCAUCGGUGACCGCGCUCGACGCCUCCUCGCCGCCACCGGAUCGGCGACCACCCCUCCGCCUCACGCCCGAUUGACGCAUCUGCAGGUCUCGAGCCUUCGUUCACCACCGCCACAUCAGAUCUCACCACGCCGUGACCCACGGCUUCGAGAUCCGCUCGAUCGUCGACCCCGCGCCGGCCCACGACUCGACCGGCCGUCCUCGCCGCUCCGCUCCUAGACGUCCGCCGCUCGAGACCCCACGGCCGAGCCCCGCACCGCAGCCGCCGCCGCCGCCCAGCGACCCGCGACCCAGCUCCGUCACCCGCUCACAGGUGGAGAUGCUCGCAGCGGCUGUCGGCGCCGGAGAGGACGACGGUGGAGAAGCCGGAUGGUCUCGAGACAGAGGCGGCUGUCGGCGCCGGAGAAGACGACGGUGGAGACACUUGCAGAAGGAGAGGCUCGCAGGAGAACACGAUUUUGUUUCUUUUUUGUUCUUCAAAUAUGUUUCAGAAAUAAGAAAUAAGAAAUUCUUGUUUCUUAUUUUUGUUUGUUUCUUAUUUUUGUUCCCUUUUUGUUUCUAGGAACAAAAAAACAAAAAAGAAACAGAAAUGCACCCAAACGCGUUUCUGUUCCUUUUUUGUUCCCAGAAACAAAAAAAUAGAAAUUUUUGUUCGUGGGAACAGAAACACGGUGCAAACAAACGCGCCCUAAAUGACAAAGUAAGUGCAAUGAGAGUCAUUGAUGUUCACGCCAAACGUAUGCCAUGACCAUUCCUUAGCCGAGAGAAUGUAAGCAGCGACAUCUUCUAGAUAGUGGUUACUGGCAAUUUUUUUUUUUUUUAUCCCCGGCCUGAUCAAAUUAUCCGAGUUAUAAACUCAGAAAGAAGUUAAUGAGCAAUCUACCGCUAGGACCUAUGAAGGGUCAUAUGUUGUUGGUUACACAUCGUGUUGGAAUAUAAUAUACGGAAAUGAAAAGAUCUUGCAAUUUACGUCAACGUGCAAACUCCAGAAAAAUAAAUGAGAAAUAAUAAGAACACCAUAACUUUACGUGAUUCGGUCCGAGUAUUAGUACCUACAUUCACGGGAGAGUUAGCAACAAAUAACCCACUAUAAUAAAAAAAUCAGAGUUUACAAUCGCUCACAUGCUUGAGUAUUUUCUACACCUAGAUUUCAACUCAAGAGUUUAUAAAUAAACAACUCAUUUUAACAUAAAUUCACGACAUAAAAUUACCACUCGUUCAAAAACAAAAUGCUCUACGUACGCCAAAAACAAGAAUUCCAGCAUUUAUCUUUUGGUUCGCGUAGAUACGGAUUUGUGUUCUUCUUUGCUUGAUCGUGCGGCGCUAUUCUAGACGUUCCUUUUGGCUCUUUCUUCUUCGUAGGGCUUCAGUAACUUUUUCUAUAAAAAAAAAAAAGGACGUUCUAUUUUAUAUAUGUGCCUAGAGUCAACAACUUUGACUCUGGGCCCACCAUGUGCUUCUUUCUUCAGUGGGAAGUGGGACGCUGCAGGUAAGGCGAAGAAACCUUCCUUUUAUUCAUUUUUCUUCAUAUUUCCUUUAUUUUAUGGGAUAUGUUUGGCAGAAGUCCUAAAACUUGUCCAGAAAGUGCAAUUGAGUCCUAAAACUUACAAAAAGUUCAAUCAAGUCCUAAAACUUGUCAAAUUGGUUCAAUUGAGUCCUAAAGUUAACACCGUUAAGAAAAUUAACAGAAAUUGCUGACGUGGCGCUGACGUCAUAUUUUAAAUGAUCUUUUUUAUUUUUCAAAUAGCUUUUUUAAAUUAUUUUUAUUCAAAAUCUUUAAAAAUUAGAUUAAAAACUAAAAAGGAAAAUCUAAAUUUAUUAAAAAAACAAAAUUGUUCAAAAAAAAAAAAAGAAAAAAGGGCGGUGGACUUUCGCCGCUGCCCAUCGCCGAAGGGGCCGGCGAUCGUCGCCGGCCCUGGGCGGGGGCGAUGGUCGCCAUCCCUUGCCUGGGGCCGAGCAACCGUCGCCCGCCUUGGGCGAGGCCUCGUCGGCCCUCGCUUGGGGUCGGCGAGGCUCGCUAGAUCUGGGCGAGCCUCGCCCUCGCCAGCCACCCCUGCCCAGGGCCGACAACUGUCGCUCGGCCCCUUCGGCGAUGGGCGGCGGCGGCGGCGGCGGCGGCAGCGGCGGCGGGGAGAAGAGGGCUGCUUUUUUUUAAAACAAUUUUAAAAAUAACUUUUAUAACUUUUCUUUUUAAUUUUUAGAUAAAAUGAAUAAAUUUAAUUUUUUAGUUUUAAUUCUUUUUUUAAAAAUGAAUAAAAAUCAUUAAAAAAAUCCACGUGGAAAAUAAAAAAUAAUUAAAAAUGAUACGUCAGCAUUUUUAACAGAAAAAGCUAACGGUGUUAACUUUAGGACUUAAUUGAACUAACUUGACAAGUUUUAGGACUUGAUUGAACUUUUUGUAAUUUUAGGACUCAAUUGCACUUUUUGGACAAGUUUUAGGACUUCUGCUGAACAUAUCCCUUAUUUUAUAUAUGUUGUGUGCCUAAAGUCAAGACUUUUGACUUUGGGCCCACAUAAAUAACCUUGUUUGGCUCCCGUAGAUAAAGAAGAAACUUUGUUCUUUUUAUUAUUAUUAUAUUUUCUUUCCUCUUUCGUAAACCUUCACAAAGUCCAACAAAGCUUCUUCUAUUGAUCGAAACAAUCAAAGACCCAAAAAGAAUUUCGAAUUUAUUUUCUUGUGCAUAAUCUUGAAUAUUAUCUUUAUCAGAAAAAUAUCUUCACGAUCAAAUAAUAAAAUUUUUAUCCAAGCGGAUCGCAUUUUGCAAAUACUCAAACUCGAGACAUAAUUUAACACAUCCGACAUGAUAUACUGCCCAAUUACUAUCCUCUGACAAUUUAUAUUUGAUUAAUCUAAUUCAAGAAUAUUCAUUUGUUAGACUUGUUGGCUUACACGCCACUGUCACGUGAUAUAUCCUAUAUUGAGAAUACUCAAUGAGCUUUGACUCUAGAUACUUGGGAGCAUCUAUGCUUGUUUUAUGUAUGUUAUGCUUGUGAUGCAUCUUGUUUUGAGUGGACUGUAGAAAUAUUUAAGUUCGUGCCAAUUUGACUAAUUUUUUAUCUGGAUAAGUGCAUUGGAAGAUUUAAAACUUAUCAUAAAAAUACAAUUAAGCCAUGAAACUUUGAAAUCAAGUUCUAGAACUUGUCACAUUGGUCUAAUCUAAAUCCUACCAUUGCAUUUUUGAAAAUUUCGGUACUUAACUGCAAUUUUCUAACAAGUUUUAGUAUUUCCAAUAUACUUUUUUUUUUUCAACCUCAGUAAUGUUUUUAAGCAACAAUGAGCUUGACAUAUCUCUGUUUUCGGAAUUUCAGUGGCUAUAGGAAACAAAAGGACGUCCUCUAAUGAAUCAACAAUCUUCUGCCAUGACAAAGCUGGAAGAGAGAUGAGUGUCUUCCAUAGUUAUAAAAAAUGUUCAUGCAAUAAUCUGUAGGAAUUCGUCUUCCUGACGUGCAUGAACAUUUCCGGCCAUGAAACAUUUCACGGUGAAGACAUUCUGUCACUUAAACCGGCAAAAGGAUAUCGAGCUUGUUCUUUUGGCGAGUGUAUUGCCGUCAAAUAUGCCUGAUUAAUUCCACGACUAUUAGCAUUUGUUUAAAUAGAGCAUACAACCUAAAAUGCUCACAAAGGUAGCUGGUACUGGAUCCUCAUGUCUGCCCAUGAAAUUCUGAGUGCCUCAGACAUGGCAUAUCAGGCACACAAACAAUUCUCAACCCAGAAAUUAGUACGUACACAACAAAAGUUUAAAAAAAAAAAAAUUGGUUUGGUUAAUGUGGAAAUUUAACAUCAUGACAAGCAUAAAAAACUGUUCAGCAGUACAGUAGAGAGGUCAAGACCUGAGAACACUGUAUUGAGACUUAUUCAGAUGAACACUUCAGAUAGUCACUGAAAAGCUAAGGAGCAGAUGAAUUGAAUAAAGAACAAUGGCGAUGAUAAUACCUGCGGCUGAAUUUGUAGGGGGAGAGAAGUCCUAGAAACCGUCAUAGAUGCCAUAGCGAUGGAUGUUCACGAUUAAUCUUUGAGCUUACUAUUGUGGAAAAGUAUUAGUGAUUCGCCAAACGUAACCCAUGACCCUUCCUUAACCAAAGAACGCAUGCAAUGACAUCUUCUGGAGAGCGGCUCCUGGAAUUUUUCCAUCCACAACCUAAUUGCAUUAUCAACCUACUGACACAUAAAAGAUGUCAAUAGGCAAUGUGCUGUUGCACCACUGGACCCGCAAAUGGUCAUCAAUGUCGGUUAUACCGCCAAUAAUUUGUACCUGACCCUUCAUAGUCGUAUUAUUCGAUUAAUCUAUUUAAAGAACAUUCAUUUUCUUCAAACAUGCUUUCUCACGUGCCACUGUAAUAUGAUGUUUUUGAUACACAAAAUACUAUCUCUUCAAGAGCUUUGACUCCUAUAUACUUGGGACAUUAAAUUGUUUUAGCAACAAUGAGCUUGGGAUAUCUCUGUUUUCGGGAUUUCAGUUGCUAAGGGAAACAAAAAGGACGUCCUCUAAUGAAUCGACGGUAUUUUGCUAUAACAAACCUGGAAGAGAGAUGAGCGUCUUACAUAAUUACAAAAAAAUGAUCACGCAAUAGUUGGUAGAAAUUUACUCUGCUGACGUGCAUGAACAUUCUGAACAAAAAACGGAAAACAUGCAUGAACAUUUCCGGCCAGGAAGCAUUCACGAGGAGCUGAGAGACACUCUAUUUCUUAAAGCAGCAAAAUGAUUACGAGCUUGUUCUUUUGGUGAGUGGAAUGAAUAAAUUGUUCAAAAAAUCCUAAACUUAUUGUCCGACCACUAAUUUAAUUCUAAACGUUUUAAUUUGAUCAAUGUUGUCUAAAACUUUUGACAAUUUUUUGUAGUCCACCUAGUUAAAUUUAGGUCGAAAAUCAGUGAUGAAGCAAUUUAGUAAACACUAGCUGUUUUAAGUGAUACAACCGAUAGCUGAUAUAGAUGAUCUUAAAUGAUGUGGCGUCGUUUCACAAUUUUUUAAUAUUCUUUCUUUUUCUUUUUUAGUAAUUUUUUUUCCUAUUCUUUCGUUCUCUAGUGUUCAUUUUCUUCCCUCUGCCGGUGGCCGAUGCCUCAGCAAUGACCGGCGACCAUCAUAGGCUACAAGUGAGGGCAUUGAGCGAGACUUGCAAGCCUUCUCCUAGAUUUGGGCAAGGGCCCUAUAGGCCCUCAUUGGCCGUAGGCAAGGUUGGGGACUUGCAAGCCCUUGCCUAGAUCUACCCUCUAAUGGGGUCAAUGCCUGCCAUCACCAAAGCCUCAAUGUCUUGCUCUGGAAAGAAAAUGAACAGCAGAGAAGGAGACAAUAGGAAAAGAAAGAAAAAAGAAAAAGAGAGGAAAGGAAAAAGGGAAAAAAUCUGAAAAUAAUAACAAAAAAUUGCAAAAUGACGUUGUUUCAUUUAAGAUCAUCCAUGUCAAUUGCCAAUCAUGCAACGUGGCCUACCUUGUUGGAUGUAGUAGAUUUAGGAUAUUUUGAAUAUUUUUCUCCUAUUAAAUAUGCCCGGUUUAUUUGAUAUCCUAAAAUUUGUCAACUUUGUGAAAUCAAGUUCUAAAAUUUGUUGGCACUCUUUUCAUAUUGGAUGAAGUUAAUGAAAUGACUUGAUUACAACUACUUGGUAAGUUUUAUGACUUGAUUGUAAUUUUUGAAAAUUGUCGGACUCAAUUGCAUCUCUAUAAUAAGUUUUAAAACUUGAUUACGCUAUCUAAAAAUUUUAAGAUUUUCAAUAUACUUAUCCCUAAAAUAAAAUAAAAAGGGCCUACCCCCUUUACAUGAACUCUUUAAUUUAAACGCACCAUGGAAUUUCCUGUCCUUUUACACAAUUUCAUUAACUAAGAUUUUAUUUUAUUUUUUGGGUUAAAACCAAGAUUUAGUUCUUCUUCUUCUUUUUUUUCGGACCAGCCAAGAUUUAGUUCAAAGAUAGAUAUUUUGAGGAGAAAAAAAUUUCAGCAAACUAUGCAAGGAUUUGCAAAAGAUCGCAACAAUAUUACCGGAAGCAUAUAAUUAUUUAUCACUGACGAAUGAUAUAGUAAAAAUUCUUUUAGAAGUUUACCUUAAGUUUAGCAAGAUCUGCUUAUUCGGCAGCCUUGAGUUUCUUCGAUUCCUUCUCUCUUGCCUUCAAACAGAUAUAGAAAUGGCAACGCAGAAUAUCAAGAUAGAUUGCCAUUGACAAAGCUGUAAAAGCCUACUCAAUCGAGCAAAACUGGGACAGUUUUUCCAGCAAUCUUGACCACCUCCGUAGCAUGCCGUGGAAAUAGAUAGGAACACAUGUAGAGGGACAAGCUGAUUAUCACUUGCUUUUAGUCAAGCAUUCGAAACUUUGAGAUUCAUGCACUAUAAGAUAGCUAGACAAGCAAAAAAAAUGAUGGGCAUUUCAGUUGAGGUGUCAAGAGCAAUUAGAUUGAAUUCAAACCAAAUAAAGCUUGACGCAGAAAAGAGAAAUGUUGUGCAUUGAGCGAAUAUAUGACAAAAUAAGUGCAAAGAGAGUCAAUGAUGUUCUAGCGCUUUGGCCAAUUGAGUUCUUAAAAUUUUACUUUGCUUAAUUGAAUCCUCGGCCUUUUCAAUUUCAGUCAAUUGAGUCCCUCAACCUUGAUCCUCGGAAAUAGUCACAUGGCUAUGAUUUUCCAAGUUGAUAAGAAGAUGCUCGAGAAGAAAACCGGGUAGGAGGUGAAAUGGGACCUAAGUGCAAGUUUUACUAUUUCAGUAACUACAAUUGAUCUGACAGAAGGUUGAACUUUCAUGGAUCUGGCACUUCGUUUGAAGCUAUACAAACAGAAAUCAGCGGGCUCAAGAAGCCAAUCUUUUAGACAGUUUCUGAAUUAUCACACAGAAAAGCACUAGGAUAUCUUUACACAUUCACUUAUUAUAUCCUCUAUAAACUAACAGUUAUUAGAGUAUAUUAGGCAUCAUUUAUUUGUAGUACAUUAGGUACAGAUGUCCUCUCUCUGAAAUUCCCUCUUUUCCUCUUCUUACGAUUAGCUUUGCCAGAAGAUGUUUCCAACUUCCGACAUUGAUGAUGUCAUUUCAAGGAGUUCUCAAUGUUUAUCACAAAUCGGUACUUAACAUCUCUCUUGAUGAGCCCCUCAAGGGCUUCAUUGGCAUAAUCGAUCAGUAUCACUUCGAUUUCUUGGUGUAUGUGCUGUGGCGCACAGAGGUCUAUCAUUUCUUGGAUAUACUUCAUUCCUCCAGUAGCGCUACCCAAAACUGUUUUCAUACCUGCAAAAAGUUCAUUGUGAGCAACUUAGUUGGCUUGCCUAUCAGGUAUCAAUAUUUCAUUCGGUAAUGAGCUUUGAGAAUAAAAACAUACCAAGGUUAAGGGAGGAAGUACACUAAUGGUGCCAUAAGUUAUGUACGGCGCUCACUUUGGUGUCAAAAAUUUUUGUCGGAUCACUUAAGUGCCAAAAAUUUUGAAAAACGAUCACUUUGGUGCCAUCGUCGAUUUGGUUGGUCGGAAAUCUGACGUGACAAUUUUUUAUUAAUUUUUUAUGCCGACGUGGAUCGUCGGAUAAUACAAUCAACAAACAAAGAACAAAACGAUGCCGUUUACCAUUUUCCCCCAAAUAAAAACCCCUAAAUCCCUAAUUUCGACUAGAACUGGAAGUUGAAAACCCUAAAUCCCCAAUUCGACCAUUUCGAGUGCAUAUUUCGAUUUUCUGCCAAAGUUAUCAACUUGCUUUUGCAAAUGGAGGACAAAAGUUUCAACAGUGGCUCGCAUUCCUAUAAGAAAAGCGAAUUAGAUGGUGAGUGUUACUGUUAUUGUGGGUUACCGAGUCCGAGAAGAAUAUCUUGGACUUGGUUGAAUCCCGGGAGAAGAUUCCAUGGGUGCGGCAGAUAUAGAGAAAGCUCGAAGUGCCAUUAUUUCAAAUGGGUUGAUAGGAAAUUCUCUAAUCGAGCGACAUAUGUGAUAUUGGAGUUACUUGAAGGCCAAAAUCAACCUCCAUCUAUGUUAAUGGACGAGCUGGGGGAUGUCGACUCAAUACAAGCUCAAAUGAAGGGUUUAACAUCUCUGAUGGACCAUUUGAAGAGAGAGGUUUCAAGGCUGAAAAUUGAAAGAAACUUUAUCGAGCGUUGAUUGUAUUCUUAUUCUCUUGGGUAGUUUAUUCAAAUGUAAAGUGAGUAAUGAGAAGAAAUUUGUAUGUCUACCAUAGUCGAAGACGUGGAAUAUGCACUUGUAUUGGAUUAUUUAUAAGUAAAAUGUGUUUUUUGGUUUGUUGCAAUUUUUAUAUAGAGCAGAAUGUUUUAUUGUUGUAAUCUAUAGGUAGAAAUGUAAGGUUGGACUUGGAAUGCAUUAGUUGUGAGCACUUAAAAAGUUUUGUUGUUUAGUUGUGUAUUGUCAAUGUUUGUUUUUGUUAGUUUUUACUUCAAAUAUAAUGGUUUACUGCAUUUUUUAUUUGGUAAUAGUUUGCUGCAUUGAAAGCAAACGGUAAUGGUUUGCUGCAUUUUUUAUUUGGUAAUGAUUUGCUGCAUUGAAAGCUUUUGAUAAUGGUUUGCUGCAUUUUUUUUAUUUGGUAAUGGUUUGCUGCAUUUUUUAUUUGGUAAUGGUUUGCUAGUUUGCUGGUUUGCUUCAACUGUUAAACCAUGGCUGAAUGGCCGAAAUUAAAGAAUGGUGCCAAAUUCACGAUUGAUCAUUUCAGUGCCAUAAGUUGUAAAUAGUGAUCGCUUAAGUACCAAGUUUUUAUAGAAGUGAUCAUUUAAGUGCUAGUCGCAAUUACAAAGUGAUCACUUAUGUUGCACAAGUUUUUUAAAAAAUAACAUGUUAGUGCCAAACGUCACAUUCCAAAUGCACAGAGUUCUUGCACCAGUUGAGUUGCUGGUGCAUCUUCUUGCACCAACCCAUACAGAUGUCGAUGCAACAAGAUGUACCAGCACCCAAAGUGCUCUUGUAGCAGCACAUAUAAUCAGAACCCCACAAAUUCAUUAUAAUCCACAACUUUAACCAACAACAGCAACAUUGCAGCAACAACAACAUUGCAAUAACAACAAAAAUAAAAUAUAUAGCAUAACUAACUUGCUAGCAUUCUAGCUAAAACCAACACAAGAGAAAAUGAAAAGUCAUUCCAGUACUUGCCAUUAACAUUGCUUGAUUGUUUACAAAAUACAAAAUACAAAAAAAAAAAAAAAAAACAUGUCUAACUUCACUCCCUAAUCAUCAAAAGUUCAGCACUUUCCUAAAAAAAAACAAUGGCAAUAUGCAAGCAGCAACUACCAUUGAUGAUAUAAUAUCCAGCACACUCCUAAAAAAAGAAAACAUGGAAAGAGACCAUGUCUAGCAUCACAUAAAAAGAGACCAUGUCCAACACCCUCCCAUCAGUCAAUAUUGACAACACCCUGAUCUCUUUUUCUUAUUAGAGCUUUGAAUUGAUUCAUAAUCCGAGCACUCUUUCGAACUGGAUGUGCAGGUUCUUAACUGGGCUUUCUGUCACCUCAUUUUCCUUUUCCUUGUUUUUUACGGCAGCUAUUUUUGUUCUAGCACGUAUCAUGUGUUGGUCCAUAUCAUCACUACUGCUCCCAAUCGUUGGUUGAGAUGGAACUAGUGAUGGGUUCUUUUUGGAUGGCUGUUUCGCAGCUAUACCCACUGUCUUCUUCUUCUUCUUCUUUGGAGCACUCUUCUUUGGAUGCGCCCUUAAUUCUUGAGUUGGCCCACCUUGAGAGAGAAGUACCUCUGAAGUUCUCCCAGGCUACAAGAACAUAAUGAUAUUGUCAACCAAAUGAAUUGAAGUACAACAAAUUAAAUGCAUAAGGCCUAUAAAUUUUACAUUCAAAAUAGUCAUUCCAGUACGUUCAUCUGUGUAAAUCCCAUAACCAUAUUGCCUUAAUUUUUUUCCAAGAGCCCCUUUUGUUCGCUGUGAUGCAUCAUUUUCAGCAACAACAAUCUGAUAUUGCUAGUAUGAGUACCUAGAGGGGGGUGAAUAGGUAUAUAAAGAGUUUUUCUCAAGCAAUUGCACAAUACUAGACAGUUGGAUGAAACGAUAAUCAAAGUAAGACUGAGAGAAGAGAAAAUUUAAUACGCGGUUUAUAGUGGUUCGGCUUAUAUCAAGCCUACGUCCACUCUUCUUCACUGACAGCCUAUUGGCUGGAUUCCACUAUGAACAAGAGAGAGGUUACAGCACAGCUUUGCCUUGAUUCCACAGUGUAGAUGUUCUACUACACCUCCUCAAGAUUUCUCACAAAUAUAGACUCUCUCUUUCGUAUACAAGUAUUCGCUCAAAGGAUUUGUCUAAACAAAAAGAAGUUUCAGACUUUGGAAUUCUUCUAUCGCGCACACCUUGAACAACUAAGACAGUCUUCCUUAUAUACUCCUUUAUGCCAUCAUACCCGUUGGCACUUACCAAAGGAAUUCCUCCAAUCUACCCGUUGAACGGAAUCAAUUAGGAAGAUUGUCCAAGCUAUAAAUGGAACGUGUUGAUAGCCCAUCAAUCAUGUUCGCCCAUACAAUCAGGAUCUCGGUUUCCAUAAGCAGAACCUUCCAAUAAUAUUUAGGCAAUCACCGGAUCUUCAAUUAUCGAAUCAAUCUUCGAUCAAUCAAAGGACUCCGUUUAUGUCUUCUCCAGCCAUGAGAUCUUCUCCAGUUGAUAAGGUUAAAUCCUCAACGAAACAUCCAGUUCUGGAUAACCUUUCUUCAACAAAUUAGAGACUGUCAAUGAGGAUAGACUUUGAGUCUUGAGUCUAGCUGUCCUAAGGUCUUUAGACUUUAAAUAGCAGAGUCUGCAAGCCUUCAGACUAGACUGAUAUAAACGAUUUGUCAACUUCAAAACACUUCAAGAAGAUUUCUCCAACAAUCUCCCCCUUUUUGAUGGUGACAAAACUUUCCUGCAGAUUUGGAUAUCUUUGACCUGCAAAACAUUUCUCAAACACAUAUACAUAUCUUAUAGAGGUAAAUGUCUUAACAGAAUAACACUAGAAUCUGCAACCACAGAAAAUAGGUUAGUCCAGUAUAUGAUGAAGCCAUCCAUAAGAUAUCAAUAUUAGUUAAUAGAAGCAGUCAAGUCCAAGUCUAGUUUACUUCUCAUCCAAACACAAACCAAAGUCAAAUAGAUUCAAACCACAAAACAAUCCAACAAAAACAAUUAAAAGUUGAAUGAAAGGUUUUUAAUCAAAUCUUGCAUCUCUCCCCCUUUUUGUCAUCAUUAAAAAGGAUGAGAUGAAGUUAAGAAUGCUUGGGAACGCGGACAAGCUGGAAAUCUUCCAUAGACUGAACAAUGCCUUCCAACCUUUUAAAGUCUUCCUUUAGCUGUGCAAUCUCCUCACUCUUGGCAUUGGCCUGAUUCUGAACAGAGAGGGCUUGCAUUUUAUCAUUCAAUAAACAGGAAGAAGCUUGACCUUCAUUCUUCAAGCUUUGAACUUCGCAUCCCAAGGCAUAAAUCUGACCUCGCAUCUCCAAAAGAAUAUCCAUGAUUCUGCGAAAAUCUGCUCCAUUAUCAGUUUGAGUACUUGCUUCGGCUCGAUCUGAUGGAGUAAAUGCAGAUGAUGGUAGAUCAGCAUAAUCUUGCAGGUUUGGCGAUGAAACUUCAUGACCUUCUUCUGGAAAUUGAGAUGCAUAAACAUCCUCUGGAUCUGCUGGUGAGCGACUGAUUCCUUCACUUGCAUCAGGACAUGAAGACUUCACUCCUUUCUCCUGAUCUCCCCCUGUUUCCAUGCCUACAGGUGGAGAAGAGUGUUCUUCAGGUUCUCCUUCUUCUCUUCUUUCUUCUUCAGGUCUUUCCUCCUCUGUUUCUUUUUCAGCUUCUAUUUCUUCUUCUUCCUUCUCCUCUGCUUCUUUCGUCAUUUGCUCCGAUUCUUUCUGUGGAACAAGACGACUUAAAUUCUUCAAAGCCAAUGCAGAGAUGGUGAUGUCUUCCUCAUCAUCUUCAUCCUCAACAAGGAGAGCUCUUCUUCUCUUGGAUGGAGCAACCAUGGGCUCCUUCCCUUUUCUUUUAGCUGCAGAAGAUAUUUGAUGAGAUUUUGCAGGAGUCUUCUCCUUGAAUUUCUCCAACUCCUUGCUCAGUUCUUUCAGACGCAUUUUGGUCACCAUUUUCAGACCUACCACCAUAUGAUCGCAUGGUCGAACACAAAAGAUUUGUAGAGGCUGAAUAUUCAGAUGUCUGAAUAACUUCGUAACAAGGCUUGGGUAAGGGAGUUGACCUCCGUCCUUCAUCAUUGCUCUAUACAUGUGAAACAUCACAGUGUGAGGGAGAGAAAACCUUUUUCCAAAGAGAAUGGCAUACAUCAACUUGGCCUCUGAACUUGAAACAUCAGUCUUGGAAGUCGAUUUCGGUCGGAUGCAAUUAAUCACAAUCUUGUGAAGCAAGAUGUUGAAUGCACCCAUCCUUAAGUAGGUGAUCUUUUCAUCUGUUCUCCUGUCCUUCACCAGUUCAAGAGUGGCCCGAGCAAUGGAAACUUUGAUUGGCUGAUAUCUUCCUCUUUCGACUUCUAACACAUCUGCCAGCAUAUUCAUAUCCACAACAUAAUCUUGGUUUUUAACGCUGAACGAGAAUCUAUUCGCAUCCAAAAAGCUUAGAUUUGAAUAGAAAUAUGCAGUUAAUUCAGCAUAGGCCUCUGUAGAGUCAGAGCAGAACUUUUCAAGUUGAAGAUAACUGAACUUUUCCCUCAAGUUCAUAUUCACAGCAUCCAGAAAAUCGAAAUCUACACUCCUAGGGUUUAUCACCCCACGCUUCAGCAAUUUCGAGUACAGAUCCUUUUGCUCCUUUGAUCUGAACAAAUCUCCCCUUUUUCCUUGGUUAUCAACCGCAACACCCAUUUUCGGUUGGAAUUGACUGUACAAUUUAUCAUCAUCAUUCCCAUCUACAGGAUUCGGCCCCCAGUCACGAGGAUCACUUGGGAUAUUUGCAAGGGUUUCCUCAGCCACCCCUUUUCGAGCAAUUCCCAAACUUUCCAUUUUUUUCAGAAAGAUAUAUUCGUUCCCAUGUCCUUUGUCUUUAAGAAAAUCAUCAAUGUAGUUCAAAGGAGUACGAAUUCCUUUUAGGGCACGAUAUAACUGGUAAAUAUAAGUGGGCUUUUGAACUCUUACAGGGUCUGCAUCCUCGAUGAUUUCUUCCUGUUGUUGAUGAUCAACGCCUUGAGGACUAGAUGGAGGAGAAUGACACUGUUGAGAAUGUUGUGGGCUCGCUUGCUGAUCUGGAGUCACUUCAUCUUCAGUAAGAUCGAAGUGCGUAGGCCCCUCACUCAUCCGCCGUGGUCCCCUGCUUGCAAUUCUCGAAGACUUUCUUGAAGAUGACAUCUUAGUUUUUGGAAGAUUCCUUGCUUGACUUUCCCAGGAAAGAUGACAACUUUUUAAGGAUUAAACGAAGAAGACAAACGGGAAUGGAGGAUCGAUGCUUUCUAGGGUUUUUGAGAGAAAAGUGAAGAGGAAUCGAUAGUUCACGAUCGGUUAAGAAGAGGGAUAAACGAACCAUCAUAAAGGAAAUAAAAAUAUGCCUUUUCAAAAUAACUGUCUUUUUCCGCAAAAAUAGCCAUUUCAAAAAUAACUUCCCUUUUGAAAAUGAAACGAUGCAAUAUUUACUUCAAUUAAAUAUAGCAACAAUUUAAACACAGUCUGACAAUCGUACCUUUUCAAGAUGAGAUUCAAGAGAGAAAGACUUACAGUCUGACGGACGUACCAAGACUGUCUUUCAGAUAAAGUCUUGUAAGUCUGAGUCUGAAAGUCUUUAGACUUUGAUAUCCUCAUACCUCAAAAUGUUGAGUCUCGAGCGUAUAGACUCAAAUUGAUUUUUCUCCAAAGGCUUUGUGAAUAUAUCCGCCAGUUGAUUCUUUGAGUCAACAAAUUGAAUUGAAACAUCUCCAUUUUGAACAUGGUCUCUUAUAAAAUGAUGUCGAAUCUCUAUAUGCUUUGCUCUUGAGUGGAGAAUUGGAUUUUUGGUGAGGUUGAUAGCGCUGGUGUUGUCGCAAUUAAUUUCCGUGCAUGAGUCUUCAAUUUCAAAGUCUCUUAGCUGUUGUUUUAUCCAUAGAAUUUGCGAAUAGCAGCUUCCCAGAGCUACAUACUCUGCUUCUGUUGUUGAAAGAGACACAGUGCUUUGUUUCCUUGAAAACCAAGACACUGUCCUGCUUCCAAGCAACUGGCAAGUUCCCGAAGUGCUCUUUCUAUCAACUCUGCAAUCGGCCAGAUCUGCAUCUGAAUAUCCCAUAAGAUUAAAGUCUCCCUUCUUAGGAUACCAAAGACCGAUGCUUGAUGAUGAAGCAACGUAUUUAAUGAUGCGUUUCGCAGCACUGAGAUGGGAUUCUCUAGGAUCUGAUUGAAACCUAGCAUAGAUGCAAACACUCAACAAGAUGUCAGGUCUAGAAGCAGUAAGAUAAAGGAGUGAACCAAUGAUGCUUCUGUACAGCUUUUGAUCAACUUUCUUCCCUUCUUCAUCUUUGUCUAUCUUCAAAGAACUUGACAUCGGUAUGUCGGUCUUUUUGCACUUUUCUAAUCCAAAUCUUUUGACAAGAUCAUUAACAUAUUUUUCUUGAUAAAUAAAGGUUCAUUCCUUCAAUUGUUUUACUUGAAGACCAAGAAAGAAUGUUAACUCUCCCAUCAUACUCAUUUCAAAUUCAUCCUGCAUAGACUUAGAAAAUUUCUUGCACAUAUUUUCAUUAGAAGAUCCGAAUAUAAUGUCGUCCACAUAUAUUUGAACAAGUAAGAAACUUUUGUUCUCCUUUUUGAUAAAUAAAGUAGUAUCCACUUUACCUUUGACAAAACCAUUUUGUAUUAAAAACUUACUUAAUCUGUCGUACCAAGCUCGAGGUGCUUGCUUUAAACCAUACAGAGCCUUCUUCAGUCUGAAGACUGAGUCUGGCUUCUUUGGGUCUUCAAACCCUGGUGGUUGUUCCACAUAAACUUCCUCUUGGAUGACUCCAUUUAGGAAGGCGCUUUUGACGUCCAUUUGGAAUAACCUGAAAUUCUUAUAACAAGCAAACGCAAGUAAUAGUCGAAUAGCUUCUAACCUUGCUACUGGAGCAUAAGUCUCAUCAUAGUCUAUUCCUUCUUCUUUCAUAUAUCCCUUGGCCACGAGUCUUGCUUUGUUUCGUAUGACUUUUCCUUUCUCAUUCAUCUUGUUUCUGAACACCCAUUUAGCUCCAAUAACAGUUUUACCUUUUGGUUUGGAUGUCAAUUUCCAGACAUCAUUAAUGCUAAACUGUCUGAGCUCUUCUUGCAUAGCUUCAAUCCAGCUUUCAUUAGAUAAAGCUUCUUCUAUGCUUUUUGGUUCAAUUUUAGAAACGAGAGCCACAACACUAGACUUUUCUCGCCUUUUGGAUCUAGUGCGAAUUCCUUCAUUCAUUUCGCCGAUUAUAAGAUCUUUGGGAUGACUGGACUUAUGCUUCCAGUUACUCGUUGAUCUGUCUGGUUGAUGAUUUCUUUCUUUGUUUGGAUCUUCACGAACAUCUUGAAGCUGGUUUUCCAGAGUCUGAGAUGCUUCUUGAGAUGUAAGCUUUGGAAGAUCUGGAGCAGGUUCAGACUCUUCUUGAUGAGUCUGACUUGAUUCAUCUUGUGUUGAGUCUUGGAAUUUGACAUUCAUUGACUCCUCCAUAAACUGGCUCUUCUUGUUAUAGACUCUGAAGGCUUUGCUUGAUGUAGAAUAUCCAAGGAAGAUACCUUCAUCUGAUCUUUCUUCAAACUUACCAACUUGAUCUUUUGCAUUUUUCAAUAUAAAACAUUUGCAACCGUAUACAUGAAAGUAUGAAACAAUAGGCUUCUUAUCUUUGAACAAUUCGUAAGGGGUUUUCUCUAGAAUAGGUCUUAAGAAGAUUCUAUUGAUGAUAUAACAUGCUGUUGAAACAGCUUCAGCCCAAAAUCGUGAAGAAAUCUUGCUUUCAAAUAAAAGAGUUCUAGCCAUUUCCUGAAGAGAUCUGUUCUUUCUUUCCACAACUCCAUUUUGCUGAGGAGUAUAUGGAGAGGAGAACACAUGAUUAAAGCCAGAUUCAUCACAAAAUUUUGUAAAAUCUUGAUUUUCAAAUUCACUUCCAUGAUAUGUUCUUAUACUUGAGAUAACACAUCCUUUUUUCAUUUUGAACCUUUUUAGCAAACUUUUCAAAAUACGAGAAGGUUUCAGACUUACUUGCAAGGAAAUAUACCCAAGUAAAACGGGAGUAAUCGUCCACAAUUACUAGGCAAUAUUUCUUACCUCCAAUACUCUGUGUUCUGGUUGGUCCGAAGAGAUCCAUAUGCAGCAACUGUAGUACAUGAUUAGUAGAGACAUGAUUUAUUGGCUUGAAUGAAUUUCUUAUCUGCUUUCCCAGAAUACAUGGAGUGCAUGGAUCAGUCUUUUGAUAAGGUAAUUUGGGUAGUCCUUGAACAAGCUGCUUUGAUGAGAUUUUGGCUAAUUGCUUCAUGUUAACAUGACCAAGCUUUCUGUGCCAUAAGCUUGCUUCGUCUUGAAUUGAGAUAAAACAUUGCGAUUCAUUUGGUUUCACAUCCAGAAGAUAAAUGUUUCCAUGUCUACGACCCAUGAAAGACUGAGUAGAGUCUUUACUGAUUCCAGAACAUAUUCCUUCUUGAAAAAAGAUCUUGAAACCAGUAUCACACAAUUGACUAAUGCUGAGAAGAUUGUAAUUGAGUCCUUCCACUAAGGAAACAUUACUUAUUGUGAGAUUUCCAAUUUUCACAGUUCCAAAUCCCACAAUACUCCCUUUGUUGUUUCCUCCAAAUGAAACUUUUCCACCAUUUACUUGAGCAAUCUUUAUAAAACAAUUUGAGUCUCCUGUCAUGUGUCUUGAGCAUCCACUGUCAAGAUACCACUUUACCUUUUUCUUGACGGUGACCUGCAUUUAAAAAAGAGUCUCAAGCUUUCUUUGGUACCCAAACUUUCUUGGGUCCUUUUGUGUUAGUAACAUAAGCAGUAUUAGCCCAUAUUCUCUUAACAGGUUUCCAAACCAUAGGACACUCUUUUUCAAGGUGAUCCGGACUGUUGCAUUUUGAACAUUUUAGAGCAUUUCUUCCUACAGAUUUUACAAAAACUUUCUUGAAGUGAUUUUUGUAAACCUCUCUCGAGAGUCUUUUCUUAAUUCUUUCUUUUACUUUAGGAAAAUCAAUCAGGGGAAUUGUUUCUUCUGUCAUACCUAAACCGGACUUAUUGAAGUAAGGUCUUUGAGCUGAAAGAAUUUUCUCAAGUUUUUCGGACCCUAUUGAAAAUUUCUUUGAGAUAUUUGAUAAGUCUGUUUUUAAAAAAGCAUUUUCUUUUAAAAGAUCAUCUUCAUUUUCUUUAAGAGUGGAAACAGUCAAGUCAAGACUUUUAACUCUUUCUACUAAAACAUUUUCCUUUUGUUUUAGAGCUGAGUUUUCCUUUUUCAGUUCGGAAAUUCUUUUGAGAGAAGUCUUAAGACUAAAACAUAAUUCAUCAAUAUAUUUAGAAACUUUGACAGGAAUUUUAAUAUCACUUGCCUCAAAUUUACUGUCUGAGUUUGAUCCAGAGUCUGAGUCUGAUUGUGCCAUCAGACAUAGAUUGGCAUAUUCAUUAUCACUUUUUUCACACUCUGUGUCACUCCAUGUUUUGGCUUUGAGAGCUUUUCGAAAUCUUUCAGCUUUUCCUUUCUUCUUUUUCAGAAGAGGACAGUUGGGUCUGAUGUGUCCCUUUUUCUUACAUUCAAAGCAGACUAUGUCUUUGUUUGGUUCCUCAUCAUCAACAGACUUGGUCUGCUGUCUUUGAAAGCUUUGUUUCUUUGAAUUGAACCUUCUUCCUUUUCUAUUCAGUUUUCUGAAUCUUCUUAUCAUGAGAGCAAGCUCCUCAUCGUCCAUAUCUUCUUCAGAAUCUGUAUCAUCAGAAUCAUUAUUUGAUUUUAAUGCAAUGGAUUUCUUACCUUUUGGAUCUUCAUCUUCAUUGAUCCAUUCCACUUCAUAAGACUGAAGAGUUCCAAUUAGCUCGUCGACAGAUAGUGGCAUAAUUCUUUGCGUCUCUCUUAUCGAAGUCUUUAUGUGAUUCUAAUCCCUGGAGAGUCCACGCAGUAGCUUGUUUACCUUCAUGGGAUCAGAAGUUGGUUGACCUUGAUUUUCAAGACCAUUCACAAUAUCUGUAAAACGACUAAACAUGUCAGAUAUAGAUUCUCCUGGUUUCAUUCUGAAGGCUUCGUAUUGACCAAGAAGAAUGUUGAUUAUAGUUUCCUUCACUCGAUCUGUUCCUUCAUAAGUGAUAUGCAAUCUAUCCCAAACUUCUUUUGUUGUACCACAAGAAGAUAUUCUAUUAUAUUCAGUUGGUGAUAAAGCACAAUAUAAGGAGUAAAUUGCUUUUGCAUCGAGUGCUUGUCUUUUGUUUAUUUCUUCCUGAGACAUUCCGCUGGUUUCAUCAGUUUCUUUUCCUCUUUCAGAUACUGAUGCAGUGGUAGGAGUAAUUCCUUUUUCUACAACGUCCCAUUCCAGAGGAUCCUUUGAUCGAAGGAAAGCUUUCAUCUUGUUCUUCCAGAUGUUGUAAUCCUUUCCAUCAAAGUAGGGUGGUCUGGUAUUGCUUUGCCCUUCCAUCAACCCUGGUGCUAGCAUACUAGCCAUGGAUCUUUUACUACGAAGUAAAACACUUCAAAUAAAGUAAGUACACAGGCUCUGAUACCAAUUGAUAUUGCUAGUAUGAGUACCUAGAGGGGGGUGAAUAGGUAUAUAAAGAGUUUUUCUCAAGCAAUUGCACAAUACUAGACAGUUGGAUGAAACGAUAAUCAAAGUAAGACUGAGAGAAGAGAAAAUUUAACACGCGGUUUAUAGUGGUUCGGCUUAUAUCAAGCCUACGUCCACUCUUCUUCACUGACAGCCUAUUGGCUAGAUUCCACUAUGAACAAGAGAGAGGUUACAGCACAGCUUUGCCUUGAUUCCACAGUGUAGAUGUUCUACUACACCUCCUCAAGAUUUCUCACAAAUAUAGACUCUCUCUUUCGUAUACAAGUAUUCGCUCAAAGGAUUUGUCUAAACAAAAAGAAGCUUCAGACUUUGGAAUUAUUCUAUCGCGCACACCUUGAACAACUAAGACAGUCUUCCUUAUAUACUCCUUUAUGCCAUUAUACCCGUUGGCACUUACCAAAGGAAUUCCUCAAAUCUACCCGUUGGACGGAAUCAAUUAGGAAGAUUGUCCAAGCUAUAAAUGGAACGUGUUGAUAGCCCAUCAAUCAUGUUCGCCCAUACAAUCAGGAUCUCGGUUUCCAUAAGCAGAACCUUCCAAUAAUAUUUAGGCAAUCACCGGAUCUUCAAUUAUCGAAUCAAUCUUCGAUCAAUCAAAGGACUCCGUUUAUGUCUUCUCCAGCCAUGAGAUCUUCUCCAGUUGAUAAGGUUAAAUCCUCAACGAAACAUCCAGUUCUGGAUAACCUUUCUUCAACGGAUUAGAGACUGUCAAUGAGGAUAGACUUUGAGUCUUGAGUCUGGCUGUCCCAAGGUCUUCAGACUUUAAAUAGCAGAGUCUGCAAGCCUUCAGACUAGACUGAUAGAAACGAUUUGUCAACUUCAAAACACUUCAAGAAGAUUUCUCCAACACAAUCCUUGUAGCAACCUCUGCAACUUGUGCAGUUGCUCGUCUUCUCACCUAAGAAACACAUAACAAAUGUAAAUUUUAGCCCAUAAAAAGGCCAAACACAGUGAUGUACAACUUACAGGAUAUUUUUUUCUUGUUUGCUCAACGGUGGACUCAGUUGUUAUUGUUGCUGUCUUACCAAUUCUAGUCCUUAUCCCUGCACUUGAGCCUACAACAUGGCCUUUUUCUGGCCCUUUAGUAGGCCUUACAACAAUGUGCUGUAUUAGGAUUAUGACCAACUACAACGAAUAAUUACACAUCUCAUUUUCAUAGUGGAAACACAUGGAGAAAACUUCUCAAAUUACAAGUGCAUGACAGAGGAAAAGCACAAGAGAAGCUAGUACACAUGGUCAACCAUCAAACUCUAUCGAAUAAGAACUGUAAAGUUACUGAGAUAAAGAGGAUACUUACCUUACAGUAUGGCUUUCUGUUGCCCUUUAGUAGACAUUACAGCAGGGCCUUCUGUUCUCCCUUCAAUAAGCCCAACAAGAAACUCUUUGUAAGUCAUGUCCCUGGCAUUGAAUCAACCAUUACAUCUUGCUAUUGAUACUGCUUUUUCAGCUCACAACCUUUCUUAUCGUGCCCUUCCUUGCGGCAAUAGGAGCAUUUCAUAUUUGAUCUAGUCCUACUCAUCCUUUGACUUGAUGCCUCUUCCUAUUGCAUUCUUCGUCUCUUUUUUGGCCUUCAUAUUUGCUUCUUCAGCGGUAAAGGUAGAGGGCUUUAAUGAUUUGUUGGCUCCCAAAAUUUGCUGCUUCUGAUAGGCUACAUCAUGAAUUGGUAUGAAGCAAGGUAUGAGCUUUUUUUGUACCAAUCAUCUAGGUAAUCAUCUAGGUUUUCUUGCUUCAUCUGAAUAGCACAAAUGGCAUGAGCACAGGGAAUUCCAUUCAGUUGCCAAGCUCGGCAUGAACACUUUCUUCUAUCCAAGUUGACAACAUACUUAUCAUGAUUUGGAAUAAUCUCAUACCCAUUAUCUUCAUUCCAAACUGGAUGGCAGAACCUACUAACAGCAAUAUUUGCAUCUAAUCUCUUCACAAUCCUAGGGCCACAGUCUCUACUCCAUUUUGUAGCAUCAUCUCUUUGCCUAUGCAGUCUAGUCAUAACCAUAACUCGAAUAUCAUCAAGCAUGCUGAUGAUUGGUUUGCACCUAGCCUCUAAAAUUCUACCAUUGAAAGCUUCAUUGAGGUUGUUAUCAAUGUUAUCGCAUUUGAACUCUUCGCUGAAGAAGACCCGACACCAGUGCUUAGCUUCUGUCUGGAAGAGUGUAUCAAAACCUUCAUUUGUCAGCUGUAACAAUCCUUGUUUCGCUAAUUUGAAAUCAACCAUAUUCGUACUCUUUGCUAUCUGCCAGAACUGCUUCUACAACAUAUCUCCUUUGAAGUUCCUUGACCAGUUUGCAUAUAUGUGCCUCGUGCACAUUCUAUGCUCAGCAUGUGGCAUCAACUCAGCCAAUGCAGGAAUAAGUCCAUACAAAAAUUCAAACCAAUAAAUACAAGUCAAGAAAAAUAUGCAAGUGAUUAAUAUAUAAAUGAGUGAUUAUUGACAUGAAAUUACCUUCUAUUGGUUGCUCAUGAAUGCCCAUCCUCCCCCAUCGGUUAUCACAAGGUCAGUCAUCAAAUUUUUUAGGAACCAUGACCAAAUAUCCUUGUUCUCUAUCUUUACCACCGCCCAAGUUAUCGGGAACAUUUAAUUAUUGGCAUCUCUCCCCACAGCAACCAACAACUCCCCCUUGCAUAAACCCUUUAGAAAGCAUCCAUCCAAUCCUAUAACUCUUCUACAACCAACCAAGAAGCCCCGUUUGCAUGCAUCAAAACAGACAUAAAAUCUAUCAAAUUUAGGCCAAAGAUCAGGGAGUGGCCUCUUCACAACCUCUACAUAUACCCUACUGGAUGGGUUUUGAAACAUGUAUUCACCAGCAUAAUUCCAUACCUGUGCAUAUUCUUCUUUAUACCCACCCAUCAAUAUUUUCAUCACCCUUAUCUUAGCUCUCUUACAUUGAUUCCUCGACACAUUAACCUCCACUUGCUCCUUCACUAAUUGUUGAAAUUGAGAACUCUUGAUCUCGGGCAUUGCUUUGAUAGUAUUAAAAAAAUUCUUUGAUAACCACACACUUGUUACCCUUUUAUUAUUAAAGAUAAUUGGACAAGUAUGCUCCUCCUGAAAGGACCUAAGCUAGAAUGACCUAUUCUUACUAAGCGCAGCAUAGAGCUUCCAUGAACAAUUAGGUUGUGAGCACUUAGCUCUCACAAAUUCCUUCGUGUUUCUAAUAAAUUUAACGCUCCUCUGUUCACCAAUUGAGUUCUUCACAACAGCUUCCUUGAACUGUUUGGCAUUGUCAAAUCUCAUGCCCACCGACAAAACAGGUUUAUCAACAGUUGAAUCAUAGAAAGGAUACUUACUUUUUCUUCGAGGAGCAGGUUCUUCAUCAUCAUUGUCAAGCUCAUUUUCCGAACUAGUAACUUCAUCGCCACAGCUUUCUUCAUCUUCACUUCUAUUACCCUCAGCUUGAUCUCCAUCCCUAUUUACUGGCUCGGACCUUUUUGCUAAAGCUACAAGUUUUUUUUUCUCAGAAAUUCCCUUUGCUUUUGUCUUGACUGUACGAGUUCAUCAUCAUCUUCGUCACUUGGAAAAUUUACUAAAGCCAAACAUUCAUCUUCCGAUUCAUUAGAUAAAGCAAUUUCCCAUUCUAAUCCAAUGAAGUCUUCAUCGCCCACAUCUUCACCCAAAUCUUCACCCAAAAUUUCAGGACAUCUCCCUCUUUGUUCAUCUCUAUCAAUAUGACUUAUCUCCCUCUCAUUUUGCCCUUCAUCUAACCUAAACUUAUCCCCGACUUGAUUACUCGUUUGAACAAGAUCCCUCACUUCUCCUCCUUCAGUGGUCGUCUGCUCAUCCACAUCCUCAUCCUCAUCCUCACUAUAAUACUCAACAUAUACCUUAACUUCUUCAUUGUGAAGAUAAUGGUAAAUGAUAUCCUUAAUACCAUUAUCGUUGUUAAAAAAUCUUAACCCAUCCUUCAAUUCCUUCCCAGGAACACAGUAAUGUAGUUUUUGCACUUUGCAUCGUAAAAAAUACACCAAAUCUCUCAGAAAAUCAAUAUAUGAUGGCUUCCAAACAUUGACAUAAAUAGUACCUUAAUUUCCACUAUUUUAUUAUCAAUCUUCAGUGCCAAUAACAAACUCUCCACCAUAGUAAACAAUGACGCUUACCUGAUUCGUGUCCAUGUCGAUGCUGCACCCAAUGAAAAAAAAAAGAGUCAUUGUCGUUUUGUUGGAACCACAUGACAGAAUCGACAACUUCACAUGUAGGUCCUUAUCGUUUUGUUGUCAAGGAACAAAUGCGACUAAAAUCUCCCCAAUUCGGUGGAUUUACAGAAAUAAAAGAAACCGAAUUAAAUAAACAAAGUGAGGUCCCCACCACUCAUUUUUCAAUUCAAUCACAUUCACAUUCGGUCCCCCACAAAAGCAGUCCAAUUAAUUAAAUAAAAAAAUUCGGUCCACCACUGUUUCCCUCCGAGUCAAGCCUCUCCGCACCAUUUUUUCUGUUCGGUCCUCACAAUAGAAAACGAACAAACGAUGGAAGAAUCAAUUUUUCUAUUCCGUCCCCAUAAAAGUGACAUCCCCACCACUUUCCCCACUACUUUCCGCUUGAGCCAAGCCCUCAAUUUGCCCUCCGUGCCCUAAUUUGCCCGUCGGAACCCUAAUUUUUUCGCAAAAUUGAUCCACGUAGAGAACAUGACAAACUUGAACGAUCGUGAACAAUGGCGCAACUACAACGGUGGCCAAGCGAUAGUGGGCGAGCGACAGCAGGCGAGCGAACGACGGUGGGUGAACGACAGUGGGUGAGCGAGCUCCGGCCAGCGUCGAGGAGAAUAAUAUACGAACCCUAUUUUACUCCCUCUUCAGCAACAUCGUUUUUUGCUAUGGAGCAACGCGGCGUCGUUUCUUAUGUGAAUCCACGGUGGAUGGCAAGAAACAACGUUGUUUCUUACAAAGAAAGGAAAACGGCGUCGUUUUAUGCUAUCCACCGUGGACAAUCUUAAGCCACAUCGUUUUUUUUUUAAAUAUAAAAGCCACGUAUUUAUUUUGGCCGAAAUUUCUCGCCAGUGGCACCAAAGUGAUCGUUUUUUCUCCGAUUUGGCACUUAAGUGAUUUGACGGAAACUUUUGACACCAAAGUGAGCGCCGUACACAACUUAUGGCACCAUUAGUGUACUUUUCCCCAAGGUUAAGGCUUGCCACACUGAAUGUAACUUCGCUUUGGGACCCAACCAACGCUAGAACGCCACCCGUCUUCAAAAGAGACAUGUAAGGAUCAAAUAGGUGAUCAGCAGAUGCCGUGUCGAUUAUAAAGUCCAGGGACUUAGCCAUGGCCUGCAUGUAUUGGAAUCAUCAGAUCACGGUAGCACUUGACCUUAAUGGAUCUAAAGUAUUGAUAAUUUUAAAUCUUCCCGCCUGCCUUCGUCUAUUCUUGGUCAGAUGAGAUAACGAAGUGGUCAGCACCAAGCAAGCUCAGUGCUUCCUCCUUUUUAGAAAUGCUUGUACUAAACAUAGCGAAUUUCAGUCCAUAAGCCUUCCCAAGCUUAAUUGCCAUGUGACUGAGCCCACCGAGUCCAAUUACACCAAGAGACUUACCCGGUUGGUUCAUCUUGUGACGCACCAUUUGAGUGUAUAUUGUGAUUCCAGCACAAGGCAAUGGUGCUGCUAAAGCCAACGGGAAGUUUUCUGGAAUCCUGAAGCAGUACCUGUUAAUGAAGCACCACAAUUAAGUUUCCAAAUCACACCAAAGGAGGAAGGGAUUUCCCAAUAGAAUCAGCAUCCCAUCUUUUUUGUACAACGGGAUUCAAAUCACAUUUUACUUGCUUAGAGCACAAUUCAACAUCAUGUGGUUUCUGUGAUUCUUUUUCUGACCACAAAUUGCUUAAGACGAAAACUUCUUGCUGUAGCGACGAAAGUAAAGCCACUGCAGCAUACAGGAGGCCAUACUUGAUCAAAAUUGAGAAAAGAGGCUUGCUCUAACAGAGUACACUGGAAGCAUAUUGCAUAUGCAUGGCAGAUCAUGUAAUUUCUCUAUUCCCCUCAAUCAUGUCUCUAAGGGACACGAUAUUCCCGUGACUGUCGAAUACAAGAAUCCGUGAAAGCACGUACAUUUUAUUACCCAUUUGAUCUAACACUUACCAUCUAACUCUUGGAAACAAUCUAAAAAAAGGGAGGAAGAGGAGAUAGAAGGCAAGAAUUGAGCAAUUUCCAUCUGUUUCUCUCUUUUAAUUAAGAGUUAAUAUCCUAAAAAACUCCAAAUUGGUACACAUGUGACAAAUUUACCCCGAUGGACUAUUAAAAACCCUAAAAUUAUAUAUUUAUGACAAAUUUACCCCAAACUAAUUUAUUCGACCACAAAAAAAAUGGUAAAUUUGUGACAAAUAUAUCCUCCACUAAAUUGAAUUAAUACCAUAGUAAACCGUGACAAACGGAGCGUAAAAUCUCAAAUUGAUAUACUAGUCAACUGUCACAUGUCAUUUAACUUAAUAAUUUGACAGUAAAAUUUAAUGAAAACUAAUAGAAGGUAAAUUUGUCACAAGUGUACCAGUUUAGAGUAAAUUUGUCAAAUAUAUAACAAUUUAGAGUUUUUUGUGGUAAAAAAAAAUAGUUUGGAGUAAAUUUGUCACAGGUAUAUCAGUUUGGGGUUUUUUAGGGUAUUAACCCUAUAAUUAAUUUAGUUUUAAAUUUAAUCUUAUUAAUUUUUCAUGAAAAAUUCAUAUGUUAAAUUUAUUGGCUCACAUGUCAUUGUCACUUGAUGUGUAUGAUAUAUAGAAUAGUCCAAGAAAUUUGACUUUAGAUACAUGGGAACCCGCGAAUGGUCAUACAUUGUCGAUUACACAUUCAACAUGAUGUAUUAGCUAAUCAUAGUCCUCUAACGGUUUAUAUUUGCUUAAUAUAUUUCAAGAAUAUUAAUUUGUUAGACUUGUCCGCUCACACGCCGCUGUCACUCGAUGUGUAUGAUAAGCAGAAUAGUCGAAGAGCUUUGACUUUAGAUACUUGGGAGUGUCUAUGCUUGUUUUAUGUCUAUUAUGCUUGCAAUGCUUCUUGUUUUGAGUGGACAGUACAAAUAUUUAAGUCCGUGUCAAUUUGAACAAUUUUCUUUAUUAUAGAGCAACAGUCUUUAAUCUAUUGUGUUCUUGACCACAAAAAACCAAAUAACAAAUAAGUAUAAAUUAUUGUAGGGUCCAACGACAAUCUUUAAUCUAUUGUGUUCUUGACCACAAAAAAUCAAAUAAUAAAUAAGUAUACAUUAUUAUAGGACCCACUCCUUUAAAAAUUUGUUGUUCACAAAAACUUAUUUAUUCUCAUAAUAACCCAAAGUUAUGCUAGCAAAAAUGCAAUUUAAUCCUAAAAUUUGUCACGAAAUGCAAUUGAGUCCUAAAAUUUUCAAAAAGUACAAUUAAUUAUAAAGAUUUAUCAAAAUUGGUCCAAUUUAAGUCAUUCCAUUCAUUGCAAUUUUUGAAAGUUUUAGAGCUCAAUUAUGCUUUCCUAACAAGUUUUAUGACUUAAUUAUAAUUUUUGAAAAUUUUAGAACUUAAUUGUAAUUUAUGAUAAGUUUUAGGAUUUCUAGUACACUUAUCUUUUUUUUUUGUUUUUCACCUCAUUAAUCUUUUUUGCAACAAUGAGCUUGACAUAUCUCUGUUUUGAGGAUUUCAGUGGCUAGGGGAAACACAGGGAUGUCCUCUAAUGAAUCAACAAUCUUCCUGCCAUGACAAUGCCGGAAGAGAGAUGAGUGUCUUACAUAGUUAACAAAAAUGUUCAUGUUAUAAUUGGUAAGCAUUCGCUUUCCCAACGUGCAUGAACAUUUCCGGCGAUGAAACAUUCGUGAGGAGCCAGUAAAGACAUCCUGUUAUUUAAACCGGCAAGAGGAUAUCGAGCUUGCUCUAUUGGCAAGUAUAUUGUUGUCAGAUAAGCCUAAUAAAUCCGAUAUUUUCAUACAAAAAAUCGUCAUCGAGGCCAACUUAAUCCAAAAUGCCAAUGGACAGGCUUGGGUAAGCUAGUGGAUAGGUAUGCCGCUUUAUCUUAUGUCGUGUUAUCUCACGAGAGAUGGUGCUGCGUUCUCUUUAGAAUGCACAUGACUUGGGAUAGGAAAACCUUAGGAUCCGACUAGGAGGAAGGAAAAAAGCAAUCUAUUGUCGGGCCAAUAUAAGAUCAUUUCAUGUCAAACUCCGCAGUCUUGAGGCCAUGGAAUCUACGACAUACUUGCUCAUUCACAAGGACUGAGCAAAUAAAUGAUAAAAUAAGAGCAAUGGUCGUCAUUGAUCGUCUGCCCUUUAACUGAUUGGAUUCUAAAUAUUUUAUUUUCAAUUGGGGUCUAAAUAUUUUAUUUGAUUCAAUUGACUUCUAAAGAUUUCCAAUUUUAGUCAAUCAAGUCCCUCAAAUAUUAUCCUCGGAAAGAGCCACAUGGCUGUGAUUUUCCUAGUGGCUAAGGAGAUGCUUGAGGAGAAAACCUGUAGGAGAGGCGAAGCCAUCCAAGCAGAACUCUCAAGAAGUCAAUUUUUCAGACAGUUUCUCAAUCAUCACAUAGAGAAGUACCAGGAUUUCAUUACCCAUUUCACUUGUUUCUGCUAUAAAACUCACGAGUAUCGAAGUAUAUCAGGCAUAGUUUAUUUGUACUCCAGCAGAGCAAUUAAGAAGGCAUAGAUGAUGCUCUCCUCUAGCUGAAAGCCCGAAACUCCCACUUUUCCUCUGUGUGAUCAGCCUUGCCAGCAACAAUUUCCAACUACCCAAAUUGAUGUUGAAAUUUAAUCAAAUAGACUCAGAGAAGAAAACAAACAAGAGAAUUGUUGCUGUAACUUUCGUUACUUUAUUCAUCAGAACAUAAGCCUAUUAAAUAGGCAGAACAUCCAAACCACUUAGCAAGACAAUAGCUAUAGAACAACAACAAAGACCCACUAACAUACCCCACUAACCAGAACAUAUGCAGAAACUAACUCCUAAAAACAAGCCACAUCCUAUUGACUAGGACUCCACUAUUACAUUAUUGAAGACACGUAAAAACUGAAAGUUAACUACUUCAACAAUUGAUGGUGUCACUUCAAGGAGUUCUCAAUGUCAAUCACGAAUCGAUACUUAACAUCUCUCUUGAUGAGCCUCUCCAGAGCUUCGUUGGCGUAAUCGAUCGGUAUCACUUCAAUGUUUGGGUAUAUCUUCUGCACCGCACACAAGUCUAUCAUUUCUUGGGUAUUCUUUGUUCCUCCCGUUACGCUACCCGUAACAGUUCUCAUAUCUGCCAAAAGUUCACCGCGAGCAACUUAAUUCACCUAUCAGGUAUGAAAUUUCAUUUAGUAAUCAGAUUUGAGAACAAAAACAUACUGAGGUUAAGGCUGGCUGGACUGAAUUUAACUUCGCUCGGGACGCCGACCAAUGCUAGAAUGCCACCCGUCUUCAAAAGAGACAUGUAAGGAUCAAAUGGGUGAUCACCGGCUGCCGUGUCGAUUAUAAAGUCCAGGGACUUAGCAAUGGCCUGCGUGCAUUGGAUUUAUCAGAUCACAACAGAAUUUGACCACCAUGGAUCUCAAUGUGGAUAAUUCUAGUUUUUCCUCUUUUUACCUUCAUCUGCUCCAGGUCAGAUGAGAUAAUGAAAUGGUCAGCCCCAAGCAGGCUCAGUGCUUCCUCCUUUUUAGAAAUGCUUGUACUUAACACUGUGACUUUCAGUCCAAAAGCCUUCCCAAACUUAACUGCCAUAUGACCGAGCCCACCAAGUCCAAUUACACCUAGAGACUUACCAGGUUGGUUCAUCUUGUGACGUAUCAUUGGAGUGUACACCGUGAUUCCAGCACAGAGCAAUGGCGCUGCUAGAUCCAUCGGGUAGUUUUCUGGAAUCCUGAAGCAAUACCUGUCAAUGAAGCACCACAAUUAAGUUUCCAAAUAACACCAAGACAGGAAGUGAUUUCCCAAUAGAAUCAGCAUCCUGUCUUUGUUGUCUAAAAGGAAUCAAAUCACAGAGCCAGAAAUCCUAUCUUCCACAUGCUUGGGAAUUUUACUUGCUUAGACCACAAUUCAGCAUCAUGUUGUUUCUGUGAUCCUUGUUCUGACCACAAAUUGCUCUAGACAAACAUUUCUUGCUGUAGCAACGUAAAUAAAGCAAUUGCAGCAUACUGGAGACCACACUCGAUUAAAAUUAAGAAAAGACACUUGCUCUAAGAAAGGAAACUAGUGGCAUAUCAUGUAUGCUUGACUGAACACGUAAUUUUGUAUUUCCUUCAAUCAAUUUCUCCAAAGGACUCAAGAUUCCUGCGGCUCUAUCAGAAACAAGAAUUAGUGAAAGCGCAUACAUUUAGCUACUCAUUUGAUCUGAUACUUAUGAUCUAACUCUAACAAUCUAAGGACAGCUUAUUCCAUUCUUGACAAUGGUUAUUCAAAAGAAAGAAUUUCUUUUCGCAUUUAAUAAAGCCAGUUCUCCAUUGAAUGGUUUGAAUGGUAAUUGGAUACAGAGGACUUAAAGACUCUCCAGAGUCGUUAUAGAAAGUAUCUUUAUCCCUUUCCACAAGAUGCAAUUAAUGCCUAAAAGCCAUUCCUCACAGUCCUAUGCAUUAUGCCACUUCUGGUCACAAUCAGAAUAAGAAGAAAAUUAGCAGAGAAGAAGACAUGACAUGAAAUCUUUUUUUGGCCACCAUGAUUUGGAAUUCUGUCACAGUGCAAAAUGCUGCCUAAUAACACUGUGUCAGUAAGCAAUUACCUUUCAUGGACGACAAUGUGACUAGAAUAUCCUCCCUUUGUCACUGUACCAUCUGCAUCAAUUCCAUCAAAAGUCAUAACCGACUUUUCACAUUGGACUUCUAGCCUGUCAUUGCAAUACUCGCACUCUCUGCAUGAAUUGACAUAAGUUCCCACCCCCACAUGAUCGCCAACUUUGAAGCGUUGGACACUGGAGCCAACCUGUUUCACAAUUCCAACUAUCUCGUGCCUGAAUCAAUCAAAAAAAAUUUUCGCAAAUUUUGUUCAGAGAAUUAUGAGGAUGGUGCUAAGAAAAAAGAUUUAACAUUUGAAUCCCGCUGCAUCCUACCCCGGCACCAGAGGAUACUUGGAGUGUCCCUGCACAUUCCUAGUCCAAGCCACAUCUGCGUAGCACACUCCACAGUGCGUGAUCUUAAUCGAGACGUCUUCGCUUCCCACGGCCCUAAAGAGAUGAUUCCCAAACAGGUGAGCAUAUAAUCCAGUGACUAAUCAGACUAGGGUGCCCUUUUUUUCCAUUUUCAAGAUCAACAAACUAAACUUGACCUACGAUUAUUGAGGAAACAAGAAACCAGAAAUGAGAAAAGGAAAAAUUCCAUGACUACAAGCAUAUUUGUCCAUACGGUAGAUACAACCUCAAAUGCUCAGAAAGGCAGCCAGUACAGGAUCCUCAUGUCUGCAGCCAGUACAGGAUCCUCAUGUCUGCCAUGAAAUUCUGAGUAACCCAUAACCAACAAUUCUCGACUCAGAAUUCAGCGCAUACACAACAAAAGAAAGAACGAAAAAAAAUGAAAUGGUCUGGACCGAAACUGUCUCUCGUGAACACUGUACUGAGACUCUCGCAUGAACACUUCGGUAGAAAUCGAAAAAGAAAAAAAAAAAAAAUGGCAAUACCUGCGGGUGAAUUUGUAGGGGGAGAGGAACCCAGAAGGGUCCCGGGCAGCCCAACCGAGGCAAUCCUCCUUCCCACCCUCCGAGCUCAUCUUCUGCACCUACACACCCGGCGAAGCAAUCACACAAACAGGUACGGUUAGAUUCAUCCAAAGAAGAAGAAGAAAGGGUGAGAACGCGAACGAGAGAGUGCCCAAGAUCAGAGACUCGACGGGUCAUCACACGGCGACGACUCGAGUCACAACGAGCUCGCCAUCACUCAUCAACUCACUCACUCACCCACCCCCACCUACCCAAGCACAACCCCACAGCAACUCAGAGAGAGAGAGAGAUGACUACGGAGAUGGAGAGAGGUUACGCGGUGGUGGAGUAUGCGGUAGCGCGAAGAGGGUGAUGAGCCGAGCAGAGUCGAGGACGGGAGGUUCAACGAAGACUUUUGCCCCCUCCUACUUUGCAGGAAAGCUACGAGUCGUCGUAUGGAUUUUAUGGCGGUGGCCCCUAGGCUCUAAAAGAAGGUUCGAGGAGCCUACUGCCUAGCCUUCUUUUGCUGUUGGUUUCAAUAUCUGCUGCUUUUCCGCCUUAGCCCAACCGACAUCGCCCUCAAAAGACAUCAAAGAUAAGGUAGUUGGAAGGAAACAUCAUCCGAAACUUAAAGAUGGGGUAGUUGGAAGGAAACAGUAUACGAAACUUUGGUUCAAUAGGUAACGUGAUUUUCUAAAUUUUUAAUUUACCCAAUAUGAUUUUUUAAAAUUUUGGUAUAGAUUCAACUUAGUCUUUAGAGUAUAUAUUGUCGCAAAUUUUAAAUUAAUAAAAUGACGACGUUGAAUAUUUUCAUAUGAUCAAAUGACAACAUUAAAUAUGUACUAAAAUUUUGAAUAAUAUUGAAUAUUUUCAUAUAAUUUUGAGAUUAUAUAGAAUAUGUAUCAAAGAUCAUUAACUAUAUAGUUCCGUUCAAUUUGCGGAAAAUAAUUUCCGAAAAACCGUUUUUCAGAUUUUUCGACAUUCAUUUCAUGAAAAAUGAAUUCAUUGGGAAAAAUGUUUCUUCUAAAUUAAGGGAAAAUGUUUUCCACUUUUAAAAAGUGAAAAACAUUUUCUUCACUCGAUCUCUCUUAUCUUACACCUCUAAAAAUCUCUACUUUAUCCUCACAUUUCUUUUUCUUCUUUUCUUUUUUUAAUUCAAAUUAUUUUUAAUUUCCUUUUUAUUUUAUUUUUAAUUUUUCUUUAUUUUUCUUUUUCUUUUCUUUGUUUCCCAUCUUUUCUUUCUUGGCUAGUUGUCAGUCAUUACCAAGCGAAUCUCGAGUUCGUCAAUCUUAAGCUCACACUCUGUACUCUUACUUAUCAUUUUCUUUAUUUACUCUAUCCUGCAGUUGUAUAUUGCUCAAACAAAUGGCUCUACAUGCUUUGCUUCUUUUUUCUUUUGUUUAUUAGAACACAAAAGACGCAUGAGAGAACAGGCCACUCAACUGGAAGAUUCUCAUUAGGGCUGUACAUGCUUUGCUUCUUUUCUCUUUUACUUCUUUUUAAAAUCCAUACAGACAUUUUUUAGAGUAGAUGAGCGUUUGACAACAAUGAGGGAACAAAGAUAUGCUCGAAUUUAAAUGCAAGUUCAUAUUUGAUGGGUUUAUAGGUCGGUAAGUGAUGCAUGCCUAAGUGGUGAAGUCUUAGAAAAUAUUUUCCUUACCAAACACCGAAAAAUAAUUUUCGAAACAUUUUCAAGUUUUAGCUUAACACUAGAAAAUAUUGUAAUUUUCCUAGAAAAUGAUUUUUGGAAAAAUAUUUUCCGGAAAUGACCAAUUUUUCACGAAACGAACGGACCCUUAGUCUCGGGAGUUUCUAUGUUACAUAUGAUCUAGUCCUUCAACUUUUCUAUUUGUAUACACUCAAAUCUUUUGUCAUAUUCAGUUUUUAUGCAGUUAAGUUUUAUUUUGUUCAUUCAAAUCAUUCAAUGUUCUCGACUAGUGCAAUUGAGUGCUUCACUCACCCAUCAUAACACACAAUUCCAUUUUUCUUUUUCCAAGUUUGCUUUUCGCUCAUUUGGCACCACCUCAACAUUGUGCGAUAUUUUCUACCUCAAUGAUAAUACUAUGUUAUUGAUUACUAUGACACAUUCAGCAAGAGGAUUUACUGAACGAUUUAAUUGCACGAAUCAAGAAAGUUAGAAGACUUGAUUGAACAAAAUAUAAAGUUAAGAGGAUCAAAUUGUGCCGAUAUGGAAAUUUGGAUGACUAAAAUUGCAUCAAACCCUUUUAUAGGGAGAUGGGUCAGCCACAAUAACAUAUUCUUUUUCAGUGACUGGCUUUGACACAACCAAUGCAACAUUAGUACGAAAAUGAAAGAUGAGUGGACAAAAGAAGGGCAACAGAUGUUAAACGAAACCUGUUUCCCAAAAGCACCAUGCAGAAACUUCCUUUCAUUGGAAAAUUUUUCUUGAAACGGAACUAAAGAUUACUGGCUUCGACAUAACCGAUGAACAUACCAAGAGCUGAGGCCUUAUCCAACAACAACGUGAAAAUGAAAAAUGAGUUGAAAAGAAUGGACAGCAGCUGUCAAAUUAAACAUUUUUUCCAUGUCUCGUUCAGAACUUGUCACUCCUUCAUUACAAUCUUGACCCUUUUGAAAUUGGAAGUGAAGGUUACUGGCUUCGACAUGACCAAUGUAUAACUUGUCGCUCAUGCAAUAUGGUAUAUAGAAAUGAAAGAUGAGUAGAAAAAGAAAUGGACGAUUGCUGUCAAAUUAAAACCUUUCCCAAGUCAACUUGUCGCUCCCCUUCCUUCCAUUAAAAUGCUUUUAUGGUGGAACUGAAGAUUACUGGCUUUGACACAACCAAUGUAAACCCUCCAAGAGGUGAGAGAACUUAUGCAAAAGUAUAAAAAUGAAAGACGAGUCAAAAAGAUGAGGACAAUAACCAAAUGCGUGCAACUCAAUUGCACUUUUUGAUAAGGAUAAACUGCACCUCUCCUCAUCAUUGAAAGAGAUAGGAUUAAACGCAGACGUGAUUGACAUAGAGAUUCUUACUAGAAAUUAAAUAAAAAUAAGUCUUUCUUGGUAACAGGAUGUUUGUUCUCGUGACCGUGUAGGUCUUUCUAGGUUCUCUGACGCGUGCCAUGAGGUCAUGGCAUGUUAUGCAACCAGAGAUAUCCAUUCCAUAUUUCUAUGGUAUCUAUCCAUCGUUACCUCCCGUGAACCUAAGAAGAACAAAACCAAUCCAUAAAGCUGGAGGAUCAAGAACAACCCGCCCUAAGUUAUUGAUGAACUGAGUUAACUGUUUGAAGCCUAAGUAGCGAAUCAUUUAAAGUUUAAGCUACUAAAAUGUCAGAUGCCAAACAGAAGGAAAAUCUACAGAGCCAACAUCUGCAUCGGAUCAACGAUGGCAUAUCAACAACUAAGGGAAAAAUCUGCUACUAAAUAUUUAUCUGAAACUAUAAGCGAGGAUCACGUUGCACUUGCAUAAGUCUGUUAACGCAGGUCAAUGGUCAUGUUCUGGCCAGCUAUGUAAGAAGUUUGAAAACUCUACACGGACAGGCACCAUUUGCAAGAAGACCUGUUCCCUCAAAUGCUCAUCUUUGUACUGAGCUGGAAAUGCUUUUAGCAGAUGACUGUGCCUCCAGAAACAAAUCGCAUGAAGUGGCCCACAAUUCUCUGGCAAGUCCAGUGUCGUACGAAACUAAAGAAGAGUUGAUAGUCCGGCCCUUCCCACCAAAGAAUACACACCAGAAAUUUCCUAUAUUUGCAAGACAGCGGCUAUUAGUAAGCACUGUUCCAACAUAUAAUAGCAGCCGCAUAAGAUUGAUACCACAGAUUAUCAGCAGAGAAGGGAAAAUCAAUUCUGGAAACACUCUGUCAUACCGUAGAAUCAACAUUAAUGGAUUUUACGUCCAAUGCUAGUACGACCUCAAUUGAGGAUAAAACGAGAGAGACUCAUUCAAGAUGGUUCAGAUAAGUGAAGCACCAGUACAGGAAUGCUUUACACCAGCCCCAUUUAGUGGGAAAAAAUCACUAUCACCCAUAUCUGCAGCUGUGGUUGCCUAUUGAGAUGAAACACAAGUGAUUUCAUUGCAGUCCCAUCUAGCAGUCCCAUCUAGCAUAUAGCAGAAAUUAAAGAUAACGAUUGCAGUCAGAAAAACACAUAAGAGAAUUGUUGCUGUAACUCUCGUUACUUUAUUCAUCAGAACAUAAGCCUAUUAAAUAGGCAGAACAUCCAAACCACUUAGCAAGAAAAUAGCUAUAGAACAACAACAACAAAGACCCACUAACACACCCCACUGACCAGAACAUGUGGAGAAACUAACUCCUAAAAACAAGCCAUUUCCUAUUGACUAGGACUCCACUAUUACAUUAUUGAAGACAUGUAAAAACUGAAAGUUAACUACUUCAACAAUUGAUGGUGUCACUUCAAGGAGUUCUCAAUGUCGAUCACGAAUCGAUACUUAACAUCUCUCUUGAUGAGCCUCUCUAGAGCUUCGUUGGCAUAAUCGAUCGGUAUCACUUCGAUAUUUGGGUAUAUCUUCUGCGCUGCACAUAGGUCUAUCAUUUCUUGGGUAUCCUUUGUUCCUCCCGUUAGGCUACCUGAAACAGUUCUCAUAUCUGCCAAAAGUUCACCACGAGCAACUUAGUUCACCUAUCAGGUAUAAAAUUUCAUUUAGUAAUCAGAUUUAAAACAAAAACAUACUGAG